UUUUUUUCCUUUUUUUAGCUUUUUACCUGCUGUUAGUGCUUGGAUAAUGAGUCAAUUUGAUAUAUACCUACUGUUAGUGCUUGGAUAUAUACAUAUUGUUAGUUUUUUUAGUUUUUUUACCUACUGUUAGUGCUUGGAUAUAUAAUAAGUCAAUUUGGUGCUUCGAUAUAUAUACUGUUAGUGCUUGGAUGGUGCUUCGAUAUAUAUACUGUUAGUGCUUGGAUAUUUUACCUUGUUCUUCCUGAAUGUCGAAUGCAAGGAAUAGCACUACAGCAGCUUUAGUUUUUCAUCACGAAAAAGUAAAGAAAGUUUCAUAGCGAAAUAUGGUGUGGUGUGUGCACAGGAGAAGGGACUAGAGAGCAUUGGCAAGACCCAAAUUUUACUCGUUCUUUCUCUAGGCGGGGAUGAUGGUGGUGGCAGGGAUGAUGGUGGUGGCGGGGGUGAUGGUGGUGGCGGGGAGGGGGUUGGCAACAAGGGGUGGCUGCGUGAUAACGCAAAGGUACCAAAGCAGAUUUCUGCUACCGAGGAGCAGAAAUGGCUCAUCGAGCCCACGGGGAAAGAGUAAGUGCCAGUUUAUAAUAAUUUCAUUCUUUUGCUUGUCAAAUGCUUAUAUUUUUCUUUAUUUUGCUUGUCACAUGCUAAUAUUUCAUUCUUUUGCAGCAACUGGAUAUAUCCUAAAGGGGCCCGUAUUCCCAACGGCCUCAUCACCGUCUUGCUGAAGGUAUACUGGCCGGGGCUGUACUGUCCGGAUCCAGUCAGGCACCUGGACCGCCUGGUUUUGGCCACGAGCUGGGACCACUUGGUAGCGGCCCCCCACGCGGACUAUGAGACCCAUGCUAAGGCCGUGAUCACUAAUUUUUGGGUGAGUUCUCUUCAGAAGCAUAAGUCCAUUCUGGCUUCAUGAAUGAUUUAACUCAUGGCUUCUUCCAUUUUGGUUUCAUGAAUAAUUGUAGAAAUACUAUCGAGUUUUCCGGAGCACAAGGCCAUUCCCGACCAGAUCGUCCUUUGCCAAGCCAAGAGUAAGCCCCGCCAGAUGCAGCACGAGGUGCGCUGGGUGGCCAUCUCGACAAACUAUCACGACGCUCUUGGUGUGAAUAUGACCAAGGAAGAAGCGCGGAGGACGGACAUUACCUUGGAGAGGCACGAGUACUUGGCGGUAAGUAUAAAAGAUUUUUAUUUCCGAUGUUUGUGGUACAUUUCAUCAUUUCGUGUUGACAUGUCAGUAUGCUUUCAUUAUGUAGGUGUGUCCAAAUUGGUGUUAUGGAAAAGACGAGUCCUGGGCAGCAUUGGUGGAUUUGUGGUGUGAUGAGGAUGGAGCUUGGGCGGCUACGAGCAUCAAAAACAAGGCUAACCGAGGGAGGGAGGGAGUACAUGCUCAGGGAAACCGAAAUCACUUUCUUCACAAGACACUUGAGGUAUAUCUAUGUACAUUAAACUUUUUUCUUUUUUUUACCAUCACUUUCUUAUGUAUGACUAACCUCUGUUUGGUUGUUUGGUGGUGCAGGAGGAGAAACUGAAGCAGCCGCUCUCACACAUGGAGGCGUGGGAGAUCGCCCAUACACGGAGGAAGCCCAAGCCUGGCGAGGCCAAGUACUACGGCAAGACCGCGGAGUAUAAGAAGGCCUACUCCGAGGGGUAUCUGAGUUUACAUCCUGGCACACCUGACCCCAUUGCGGCGGAUCUGGAUGAGAGGGUGGUGGUGGGCAUGGGGCCCAAGAAGCAUGGUCGGCAGCCGAUUCUGGAUGUUGUGAUCACUCCUUCUAUCUCCUACACACAGCUCCGAGCUACCAACCCGAGCUUGUGCCUGCGCACGAGCACGCCCAUGACCAGUGCGCAGUCACAGUCACUACUAGGAAAAGGCUAAUUAGUGGCGCACCUGUUUUGGCCAUUAAUGGUGCACUACAGGUGCGCCACUAUCAUCACGCCACUAUUAACUAAUACUAAUGGCGCACCCCUGGUGCGCCAUUAGUAUACCAGACAAUAGUGGCGCACCAUGGAGUGCACCAUUAGUAUGUCGAACGGUGCGCCAUUACUAUGCCUCCCAGGGGGCCAUAUUUACCUUGUGCUCUGGGUUACUAAUGGCGCACUUCUAGAUAAUGCGCCACUAGUGUGUUUAUUGUGGUGCGCCACUAGUAUGAAUAUUAGGAAUUUUUUUCCUGAUAUUUGCACAGGUUACAAAAUAUAUUACUGCAUAGAAUAUAGACAGCACAACAUAUAAACAACAGAUUUAUCAAAUACAAUAGAAGAUUAGUCUCCGAAUACAAUUCAUCAUAUUAGUCUCCGAAUUCAAAACACCGAACAAAGUUAGAACAUUACAAGUCUCGAGACCGCGAGUAGCGAGUUUGUCUUCACAUUACAAGUUGAUAUCGAUCAUCUAAACUACCAUCACAUAGAAGGGAGCCGCGGUCAUCACGAUGAGCAUCAUCGCGAUGAAACUGGUCUUCAUCCGGUUCCUCCAACGCUCCCUCCCCUCUCCCGCUAGAUAGCGCGCGUAUCUAGCUUCCGCCUUCGCCCUAGUGGUGUACCCUUUGUAACUGUUACCGCUGAAACGGUGAACCUGUCUCCGACACUCCUCCCAGUCGUCGUAGACUCCGGGAACCAUACCCUUUUACACGACAUACGAUGGCAUCUCUAUGCACUAGCCAAACAAAAAGUUAGUAGCAAUUAACAGACAAUACAUAAGCAAUAUAUAAGUAUGCAACAAAAGGAUCGGAAGAGAAAAGCAACACAUUAAUAGCACGAUUCAUGGUCCUACUAAUAAAUAGCAUCGAUUACAUAUAAGUUGAACGACUGUCCAAACCAAAGAGACAUACAAGUUCAUUAAAGUUUAAUUACAACAUGAGCUAAUCGAUAUUUCAGAACUACAUAGCAUCACUACUUUUGACUCGACUCAGGGACCGGAGCGUGGAUGAAGCCGCCGUCUUUCGUGAUGGUCAGGGACUGGGCGUUGUGAGCCUGUAUUUGUAGCAUUGUUUCUAUCUCGCUGUUGGACGGUUAAUAUCUGAGGUAGAACUGCCCCGAGGUAUGAAGGACAUCUUGAUGGAUGAUUUCCGCAAACUCCGACUGGAUGCGAAAGAACUCUUGUCUGAUGUCCGCGUCCUGGAUUGCCAACAAGCGUGCGGCCCAAUCUUUGAGAUUAUUUGGUAGCAGAAGGUGAUUAUGGUCCCGUACGAUCGCCCGCAUGUGAUGGAGGGCGUAGUAGGCAUCCUUCUGACCGCCAGGCGGCUGCCUGACGCAGGGGAACGUCGUAUUGUGGGUGUACACGUGCUUGCCGUACCUAUGAAUUGGCCUGCUGAAGGUGCCUCCAGAUCUGGCGUAGCCGGGGAGAACAUCAUCAAGAACUUUCUUAAUAUUUGUGUAGUCUUUCUUCGACUGACGGUCCGAGUCGAAAUACGUGGCCAUGGAAUAUUUCAGGCUUAAGAGGAUGAGUGUGCAAUGUGUCACUGCACAAAACACGGAAUGUUAGAAAAAAAAGAACGAUAGAAAUCUAAGAAAUCAUAUGUUACUACUCGGGAAAGUAAGGCACGAGGAAGUUAUCCUUAUCUGGGUUUGCCAGAAUGAAACCUUCGAGGUAUGAACUCGCGACUUGCCGGUCCCCAGCGCUGCCCAAGAUCUUGGCACACAUGUAGAAGGGGUCAACUAUCACGAUGUCCGGGGUCUUGUCUCUAAUGAUCCGCAUCUCCAUACUCAGCGAAAAUAGCCGAACGAAGGUGUAGUGCAGCGGAUGAAGGUUAAACAUAGCGAAGAUGUCAUCAAACCACAGGACGAUCAUACCCCCGAUGGCGCUAUCCACAAAGCCUUGCCCUCUGGCACCUUGGCCACGAAAACCGGGUAUGCCACAUCAUUCUCGGAGAAACGCCGCUUCUCCAAAGAAAGAACAAUGUCAUGCAGACUCCGCAUAGCACCAGUUGCAGCAUUGAGCAGAUUAGUCGGUAGCAUCGGCCUACCCGCCACAUGCACCCUCCUCGAGAUAUCCUUAGGUGAAGGUGGCCCGUCCUAAGCACGGAUCGUACUCGGUGCCGGCUGGCUCGCACCCUUGUUAGUCUUUCUUUUCCGUCCCUUCUUCUUCUGCUGUAAUGGGAUCGAGUUCUGCUCAGAGACCGCCUUUUUGAGUCUGUUGGGGCUGAUAAUAUUUCGCACCUCGGCUAUCUGAGGCUCGGUGAAGGCGGCAGCUAGAGGCGUCUCCUGAGAACUGAACGCCAGACGACGCCUGUUGCAAUUGGGUUUCUCCGCGGUACCAGCUAGAUCGCGGUUGUCUUUUGCAGGGCUGGGUUCUUGAGAAGGAGGCCCCAAGAAUUCGUCACCGUACCCAUGUUCGUAGAAGUACUUAUCGACGUUGGUAAAUGUACCAUUGUUGUCGUCGUCCGGAUCCUGCGCGAUAUGCAUGUCCGGAUCCUGUGCGAUAUGCAUGUCCGGAUGUCCGGUAGCGUUGCGGCGGUCUUGCCAUGGCUUGGCGCCGGCACGACUGGCGGUGUUGCCUGUGGGGUGGUGUCCCCCGCCCCCAAACGAAUCUGGCUCUUCGGCCAAAGCAGGGGCCAGCUUAAGCAGGCGCUGAGGGUCAUCACAUCAUCUUCGUCGGCCCCAGCGGGUCGAAAUAGAGGUAACAAGUCAUCGCAGCCUGGCAGCACCCGAACCAGUUGAACCCUAUACACGGUGGGUGGCAUUGGAUUACCGUGGAACACGGGGUUGCCCGGUUGAACGAUUCUGCCCUUGGCGCCAUCGAUCAACUCGCCGCCCACGAAGUGCAGGAGAGUGCAUGGAACGUCGGCGGCGCCCUGCGAAAACAUGUAGGGCGUUAGGGAUGCCCAGUCAAAGGCAAGGAGAUGAAGUCAUCGGCCGAGAGGCUUAGUUACCGUGACGGCAUCGAGCUCGGCUAAUGUCGAGGCACCGCCAACGGCGGGCAUGCAGGUGACGGAGGGGCCGCUUGCUGUCGAGGUGCCGGCCAGCGUAUUCUUCGCACACCCGGGUGCAUUAAGCUCCAAUGCCCGCGCCGGCGCCGGAGACACCAAUACCGCCUCCGCCGGAGACACCAAUGGCGCCGCAUGCGCGUUGUGCGAGUUGCUGGCCGUGAAGCUGGGAACCGGGGGCGGCCCCUGUUGGCCGCCCGCAAUCCACGCCUGCAGCCCCUCAAUCAAGGUAGGCACAAUGGCGGUGAUCGUCGCUCCCAGCUGGUCUCGCACUUGCUCUUGGACCAUCUCCGGAAUCCGCGCCACUUGUGCCUUGAGUUCUUGAACCUCGCGCGACUGGCUUUCCGAGCUGGUCUUUCUCUCCUUUCGCCCACCAGCGUUAUAGUAUUCCGACCAUUUCGUGGACAAGCCUUUGCCGGCCACACGACCAGCUGACGACGACUUACUGAACUUAUCCUUGUUUUUUAUUAUGUUCAACGCCCUAUUUAAAGUGCUGUCCCAAGGGGAGCUCUGAGACGACCCCGUGCUACUGCUUUCAGUCUCCUGCGGAAGGAAUGUGAACCACUUAGAAAUUUGGCUUCAUUAAUUAGAAUGCAACCAUAUGGAGCUAAUUACGCGGCGGUGUAUUCCUUACCAGAACAAGCUCAAGCGCCUUGGUCUUCGGAUCCGUGGUAAGCUCCUUUGUUACCGGGUCCACCUUGUACCUGGCCCUGACAUAGUUCCUGGUCUGCUUGUCACGGUAUUUCUCGAAGCGGGGCGGUAGGCCUUGCUCGGCACGCUCCGCGUCCUCCUUGUCCCAUAUAGGUUCCGCCACUCUGUAACCGUCGGGACCGAGUUGGUGGAACCCUAAGUUCAAGUCUCGCAUAUCUUUCCCCCACUGACUUGAUACCCCGGUUGCGUUGCUCUCGCACUUGAUCUUGAACUCCUUGUAAUCAUCUUCGCUGAUCGAAGGGUUUUUCUCCUUGAUCUUCUCAUAACUAUCACCCCUUUCAAUCAUUCUCUUCACCGCGCCUCUCCAAGUAUCCAGGGCCGUGCUCAUCUUCGUGAGGGCGGCACUGUUCACUUUAUUCCCUGAGAGGCGUGUGUUUGCGAAGUCACCGGGGAACUUGUAUCGUUCAUGCAGCUUCGUGAAGAGGAGGUUGCGCAAAUUCCCUCGGUCAUGAUGCCUUAGGUUCUCGGUGUUGAUCGAGACGGUGCUCCGGAGAAUGCACCCGAGCUGUCCCGUGUACCCCUUGACUAAUUCUUUGGGCGACGUUGGAUGCCCCUCGGAGGACACUUCAGUAAAUUACUCCUUGAUGGUGUCGAGCACGUUCGGGCGCCGGUCCUUCCGUUGCCUCUUCGGUUGGCUGCCAUCUGUGCGUGCGCUGCCAUCAUCAGUGGUGGCAUCCUCGGCGGCACCAUCAGUGGUGUCAUCCCCGACGCUACUAGGGGUUGUGUAGUCAGGAUCGGUGUCUUCCGCGGCGUCCUCAUAGCGGUGAGGUUCUUCCUCCAUCUCCUGGGACAGCUCCCAGAAUGCCUUGCCCGAACUGCCGGCCUCAUCGUUGUGGGCCAUGUUUCGCUCUAAAUACGAAAAAAAAUUGGUCAAAAAGUUGGUUAUUGUCAAGGAACAAGAUCUCUAAGUUGACCAAAUAACCUAAUUCUCGAGGAAUGUCGCCAAAAAGUUGGUUAUUGUCAAGGAACAAUUGAGAGAUGUUUGUGAUAUUGCCUAGGUGUUUUGGGAUCAAUUGAGAGAUGUUUUCUGAUAUUGCCUAGGUACCCCUGAUCUUCUUCUACAAAUAUUUUUGCUAUAUCAAUCUCCAAAAAAGCAUGUGAUGCUGAAUCAAUACUCAAUAUAUAUAGGUGGUGCUCUCUUUAUCACAUUUUUAUUGGAAUAUGCAACAUUAAUCUUCUUUUACUUGAAUCAGGUGCACAUAUUUACAUUCCUAUUUCAUGCUUACUUGUUUGGAACUAUAGAAUCUACCUUGGAAUCUGCAAAUCUCUUAGAAUGUACUAAGAGAUGCCAGAUUUGUUGGGGGACUCCUAUACUUAAGGCAUAUAAGACCUGGCAUUGCCUAUGCCGCAAGUGUGGUAGACAAAUACAUGCUUGAUCCUAGGAGUGGACAUAUGGAUGCGGUAUAGCCUAUUUUGCUGCAUCUAAGAUGCAGUCCUGGGAAGGGGUUUAAGCAACAAUUAGUUGUGUCCAAAUCAACAACCAAAGUAGAGUAUAGAGCUAUGUCACUAGGACUUAGUGAAAUAUUAUGGGUAGAUAUCCUCUAUCAGAAUGAAGGUGCUGGGAAAAGGUCCUUUGAAGGUGUGGUGUAAUAAUAAAUCAGCUAUAAGCAUAACCACUAACCCGAUCCAACACGACAGAACCAAGUAUGUGGAGAUAGAUCCUUUAUUUAUUAAGGGGAAGUUCUAUGAUGGUAUAAUUCAAUUAAAUCAUGUAAUAUCAGGGAAUCAAGUAGCAGAUGGUCUAACUAAGGGUUUUGGAGUCAAGGAACAUAAUUUAGCUUGUAACAAAAGAUGGGAACGAUAUCUAUCUAUCACCAAUCUUGACUGGGAGUGCUGGGCUGAGCAUAACAGGGUGAUAAUGAAGCAUUAGUAGAUUGCAUCUUACAUGUCCAUCUCUACUUUCUCGUGGCUUUUUAUCCCACUGAUUGGAUAUAUAUUGCAUGUACACAGAAUAUCUCAGACAGAGGAAUACAGCUAGUUGCCAAUAAUUGUCAAGGAACAAUUUUGGAAAUCUACAGAUUAAGUACUAAGAUACCCCGGCCCAUGCAUUAGUCGCAAGUACCCCAUAUGUCCUAUUUUUAGCAAAGUCAUGCUUGUUGGGUAACGUAGCAAUAAUUCAAAAUUUUCCUACGUGUCACCAAGAUCAAUCUAGGAGAUGCUAGCAACGAGAGAGAGGGAGUGCAUCUUCAUACCCUUGAAGAUCGCUAAGCGGAAGCGUUACAAGAACGCGGUUGAUGGAGUCGUACUCGCAGCGAUUCAAAUCGCGGAAGUUCCGAUCUAGCGCCGAACGGACGGCGCCUCCGCGUUAAACACACGUACAGCCCGGGGACAUCUCCUCCUUCUUGAUCCAGCAAGGGGAGAGGAGAAGUUGAGGGAGAACUCCAGCAGCACGACGGCGUGGUGGCAAUGGAGCUCGUUGUUCUCCGGCAGAGCUUCGCUAAGCACUACGGAGGAGGAAGAGGAGGUGUAUGAGGAGGGAGGGCUGCGCUAGGGAAGAGGUGCGGCUGCCCUCCCACCCCUCCACUAUAUAUAGGGGCAAGGGGAGAGGGGGAGGCGCCCUAGGGUUUCCCCUAGGGGGCGGCGGCCAAGCAGAUUGGAUCUCCCUAGGGAAAAUCCUAGGGAGACUUGCCCCCCAAACCAAGUAGGUGGAGGCUUGCCUCCCAAGCCAGGUGGAGGCGCCCCACCUCCCCAAGUAACAUGGGAAAGGGUGGGGGGGGCGCACCACCCCUUAGUGGGCUGGUUUGCCCCUUCCCCUUUGGCCCAUGAGGCCCUCCAAGACUUGCCGGGGCUCCCGAAACACCUUUCGGUCAUGCUCGCCAUAGCCUGGUACCCCCGGAACACUUCCGGACUCCAAUACCCUUCGUCCAAUAUAUCGAUCUUCACCGCCGGACCAUUCCGGAACUCCUCGUGAUGUCUGGGAUCACAUCCGGGACUCCGAACAACCUUGGGUAACCACAUACUAUUUCCCAUAACAACUCUAGCGUCACCGAACCUUAAGUGUGUAGACCCUACGGGUUCGGGAACCAUGCAGACAUGACCAAGACACCUCUCCGGCCAAUAACCAAUAGCGGGAUCUGGAUACCCAAAUUGGCUCCCACAUGUUCCAUGAUGAUCUCAUCGGAUGAACCAUGAUGUCGGGGAUUCAAUCAAUCUCGUAUACAAUUCCCUUUGUCUAUCGGCAUGUUGCUUGCCCGAGAUUCGAUCAUCGGUAUCCCAAUACCUCGUUCAAUCUUGUUACCGGCAAGUCUCUUUACUCGUUCCGUAACGCAUGAUCCCGUGGCUAACUCCUUAGUCACAUUGAGCUCAUUAUGAUGAUGCAUUACCGAGUGGCCCCAGAGAUACCUCUCCGUCAUACGGAGUGACAAAUCCCAGUCUCGAUUCGUGCCAACCCAACAGACACUUUCGGAGAUACCUGUAGUGCACCUUUAUAGCCACCCAGUUACGUUGUGACGUUUGGUACACCCAAAGCAUUCCUACGGUAUCUGGGAGUUGCACAAUCUCAUGGUCUAAGGAAACGAUACUUGACAUUAGAAAAGCUCUUAGCAAACGAACUACACGAUCUUGUGCUAUGCUUAGGAUUGGGUCUUGUCCAUCACAUCAUUCUCCUAAUGAUGUGAUCCCGUUAUCAAUGACAUCCAAUGUCCAUGGUCAGGAAACCAUAACCAUCUAUUGAUCAACGAGCUAGUCAACUAGAGGCUUACUAGGGACAUGUUGUGGUCUAUGUAUUCACACAUGUAUUACGGUUUCCAGUUAAUACAAUUAUAGCAUGAACAAUAGACAAUUAUCAUGAACAAGGAAAUACAAUAAUAACCAUUUUAUUAUUGCCUCUAGGGCAUAUUUCCAACAAUGCUAAAAUUCACAAAAAAUUUCAGCAUGACCUUUGCUGAAAAUAGGACAUAUGGAGUACCCGAAUUUGCCAGAACGAAAGUUAAUCGACAUUCCGGCAAACUCAAGGGCCUCCCGGGGUACCUGCAAAAUCAUUGAACAAGUUUCAGUUCCAAGUUUGGCACUUGCUGUCCGACACAAGCCACAGCCCCCUUGAACAUUCCGCAAGUGCACGAAACAAACGCAUGUUACAAGCCAAAAAACAGAUUGGCGCAUCAAUUGGAAGCCAUCCAUCAUAUACCAUCAGAAAAAGGCUAGAGAGAAUUGGGGAAACAAAGGUGAACCUCUCUCUUCUUGCACUCCUUGUAGUUGUCGAACUGUUGAUGGCACUUGCUCUUGUCCUGGUUGGUCUCCAGACCUAGAGACACGUCACAUCAUUAGAGAUUUCAUCAAAUACACACGAAACAAUAGAUAGCUCGUUCUAUGAUCACUAACAAAGGUAGCAUACUUCCAAUCAACAUGAAAAGUGAAAUACUAGGAUGAUCGAAGUUGUAGAACCCCCAAGAAACUGUAUUCAGUGAUCUUUCUAAACAAGCUACAGAACAUACACUGUAUUCAAACUUGCUGCCAUUUAAGCAAGUUUUUUUAAGAAAACUGAUUAGGACCCCCAAAAAACUUGCUGCAUUUCAAUCAGACCAAAUGUUUCACUUAAUUUUAUGAGUUAACUUUAUUUACAUUUAAUUCAGUUAACCAAAAUUACACUGGAUUUUAUUGUCAAUUAAAAUUCAGUGAGUACAUGUCACAAGAAAAGAGGAGCCACAUCAAUCCAAUCUUGGUGCUGCUGCUAUGAACAUAACUAAACCCAUAUGUUUAUAAUCCAAUCUUGAUGAAUACUGUGAACCUAACAAGUUUUCCACCCAGCAACUAGAUAGGACGGCCAUGAAUCCUCUCUCCCCGGAGCACCCCAAUGCACACACUCCAGAAAAUGCAAAAAAUUCAGUAAACAUACACUUCAAAAAAUUCAGUGACCGCAGAACAUAGACUCCUGAAAAUUUUCAGAGAUCUUGUACUCAAUUUUACAGUGAACUUGCUAAAGAAUCUCCCAAGCUUCAAGAUAGACUAAAUUUUCAGUGAUCUUGUACUGAAAAGAAGAAUUUUGGAGUGGGGGUGAGAAGAGGGGGGAGCCGCACCUUGGCAAGUGGGGGGCGACAGGACCCACGACGGCGAGGAUCCUCCAAGACGGCGUAGCGGAGCUUGGCGCAACUCCUAGGCACNNNNNNNNNNNNNNNNNNNNNNNNNNNNNNNNNNNNNNNNNNNNNNNNNNNNNNNNNNNNNNNNNNNNNNNNNNNNNNNNNNNNNNNNNNNNNNNNNNNNNNNNNNNNNNNNNNNNNNNNNNNNNNNNNNNNNNNNNNNNNNNNNNNNNNNNNNNNNNNNNNNNNNNNNNNNNNNNNNNNNNNNNNNNNNNNNNNNNNNNNNNNNNNNNNNNNNNNNNNNNNNNNNNNNNNNNNNNNNNNNNNNNNNNNNNNNNNNNNNNNNNNNNNNNNNNNNNNNNNNNNNNNNNNNNNNNNNNNNNNNNNNNNNNNNNNNNNNNNNNNNNNNNNNNNNNNNNNNNNNNNNNNNNNNNNNNNNNNNNNNNNNNNNNNNNNNNNNNNNNNNNNNNNNNNNNNNNNNNNNNNNNNNNNNNNNNNNNNNNNNNNNNNNNNNNNNNNNNNNNNNNNNNNNNNNNNNNNNNNNNNNNNNNNNNNNNNNNNNNNNNNNNNNNNNNNNNNNNNNNNNNNNNNNNNNNNNNNNNNNNNNNNNNNNNNNNNNNNNNNNNNNNNNNNNGGCGGCGGAGCGGGGGAGGGUGCGGGGGGUCGUCGUCGGCGGUGGAGCGGGCGAGGGUGCGGGGGGUCGUCGGCGGCGAGGGGGAUCUGGCGAGGGGGGGUAGCGAUCGAGAUGGAGGGGGAUCUGGCGCGGGAGGCGAGGGGGAAAGGGAUAGAGGGGGGAAGGUUAGCAAUGGCGCACCUCCCAGGGGUGCGCCAUAAGUACAUCCAUAGUAAUGGCGCACCACCGAGGGGUGCGCCAUAAGUAACUUAUUAUUAUUAUUAUUAUUUUUAGUUGCUUUAAUAAUUUUUUAAAAAAUGACGAUCAAAUUUGAAAACAUUUAUGAAUGUGAAAAAAUAUCAUCAAAUUUGUUAAUUGAAAAUAUUUAUGGAUAUGAAAAAAUAUCAUCAAAUUUGUUAUUUGAAAAUAUCAUCAAAUUUGUUAUUUGAAAAUAUCAUCAAAUUUGUUAUUUGAAAAUAUUUUAAAAAAUAUCAUAAAAAUUGGUAUACCAAUGGCGCACCUCCUAGGGGUGCGCCAUAAGUACAUUGAUAGCAAUGGCGCACCUUCUCCUGGUGCGCCAUUACUAACUUUUUUAUUAUUAUUUUUAGUUGCAUCUAAUAAUUUUUUAGAAAAUAACGAUCAAAUUUGAAAAAAAUUAUGAAUGUGAAAAAAUAUCAUCAAAUUUGUUAUUUCAAAAUAUUUAUGAAUAUGAAAAAAUAUCAUCAAAUUUGUUAUUUGAAAAUAUUUGAAAAAAUAUCAUAAAAAUUGGUAUACCAAUGGCGCACCUCCUAGGGGUGCGCCAUAAGUACAUUGAUAGCAAUGGCGCACCUUCUCCUGGUGCGCCAUUAGUAACUUUUUUAUUAUUAUUUUUAGUUGCAUCUAAUAAUUUUUUAGAAAAUGACGAUCAAAUUUGAAAACAUUUAUGAAUGUGAAAAAAUAUCAUCAAAUUUGUUAUUUCAAAAUAUUUAUGAAUAUGAAAAAAUAUCAUCAAAUUUGUUAUUUAAAAAUAUCAUCAAUAUUUUUUUUGGAUUUUUAGUUGCAUUCAUUUGUGAAUUGGUAAAACAUUUAUGAAUAUGAAAAAAUAUCAUCAAAUUUGAAAAACUAUUCUUGAAUUGAAAAAGUGCCCAUGAAAUUUAACAAAUUUGAAAAAAUAUCAUCAAAUUUGAAAAAAUAUUAACAAAUAUCAUCAAAUUUGAAAAAAAUAUGAAAAAAUAUCGUCAAAUUUGAAAAAAUAUUAACAAAUUCAAUACUUUUUGUGAGUUAGAAAUUCAAUACCAUAAUAAACAUAAAUAAAUAUUCAUGAGGACUAGAACAGAAGAAAUAUCAUUUCAAUAUGUCGAAAUACAAUCGAGAAAUGAAGACUACGAUUUAAAUACAAUGGAUCUUAGCUAGCUAUAUUUUCACAAUCUUCUUACCCUUCUUUUUCGCAAAUGGAGUUCUUCUGUUGAACGGACGUCCUUUAGGUAGGGUGGUCCUGCUUCUUCUUGUGGUGUAUGGCACUUCAUCGUCAUCGUCAUGUUCCAUCUUCGGGUCAACGUACUUGUCGAAGUCUUGCUCAUUGGCGACUCCAUCCAUUCCGAUGAUCUUCCUUUUGCCUCUCCUCACGACAACAUGACUGGGCUUUGACGGGUCGGUAAUGAAGAAGCAUUGGUCCACUUGGGAAGCCAGUACCCAUGGCUCAUUUUUCGCGGUGACGUUUGCGCCCGCGGUCUUGGGUUUGGCUUCGGGUAUAACCAUGGUGGUGAAAUACCGGUCUUCUUUUAGGACGCUCUUGGCCCAUCUGACACGGAACAUCGGGACCUUCUCUCCAGUGUAGCUCAGCUCCCAGAUCUCCUCGAUCCUUCCGUAGUAUCUGUCCUUGUCGUUACCGGUGUAGGAUUCCAUCGUUACCCCGGAGUUCUAAUAACCAUCGCUCUUCAUGUCCUUUCCCUCGGUGUAGAAUGUGUAGCCGUUGAUAUCAUACGCCUCAUAGGUCAUCAGGUUGUGCUCAACGCCCUGUGACAAGGCGAAUAUGAGUUUUUCUUCCGCGAAAGAAUCCUCAUGUAAAGGGUACGACAGAAGCUUCUCCUUGAACCAACGCGUGGAACAUGAGUUGUGCUCUUUGAUUAUAUCUCCGUCCGUCCUUUGUUGGCCUCGGUCAUUGUACGUCUUCUCAAUAAAGGUUUUGUGCUCUACCACCCAUGGAUCGACCACGUCUAUGUGUUGUAGCGCGACUAGGUUUGAUCUUUCAAAGUCGGCGAGUCGACCCUCGAAGUCGACAUGCAUUUCGCGGCGACCAUCACGGUGACCCCAUCCAGCGAGCCUGCCGAGGUGCCUGUUGACGGGCAGACCAACGGGGUUCUCGAUGCCUAGAUAAUUCGUGCAGUAGGAGAUGCACUCUUCGGUCAGAAAGCCCCUGGCUAUGCUUCCCUCUAGACCUGACAUGUUGUGAACGUAUCCUUUGAUGACACCAUUCAUCCUUUCGAACGGCAUAAUGUUGUGCAGGAACGUCGGCCCGAGUUGGAUGAUAUCCUCCACGAUAUGGACCAGCAGAUGCACCAUAACAUCGAAGAAUGCGGGCGGGAAGUACAUCUCAAGCUCGCAUAGUAUCACCAUGAUCUCUUCCUGUAGCCUUCUGAGUUGCCUCACGCCAACCGACUUCCGAGAGAUAACGUCGAAAAAGUUGCAUAGGCCAAAUAGCGUUUCACGGACGUGCGCGUCCAUGAUCCCACGGAUUGCAACUGGAAGUAUCUGCGUCAUCAGCAUGUGACAGUCGUGAGACUUCAUCCUGCUGAACUUCUGCUUCGCUGAGUCUAGGUAUCUGCUUAUCUUCCCCGCGCAACCGUAAGGAAGUUUUACUCGUACGAGGCAGGUGAAAAAUUGCUCGAUCUCCUCCUGACUUAGAGUGAAGCACGCGGGAGGGUAGUCAUUUCCGAUCUUCUUGGCCUUUUUGCCUUUGCGACGACUUUCCGUGUCCUGCUUCGCCUCAUCAUCAUCAUCAUUAGCGUGAAGCUCCUUCAUGAUGCCCAUUGAUUUCAAGUCUGCCCUUGCUUUCGGCCCAUCUUUGGUCCUCUCUCGCAUGUUGAGCAGGGUACCAAGCAGACUCUCGCACACGUUCUUCGUGAUAUGCAUGACAUGAAGGCCGUGAGGCACACGGUGGAUCCUCCAGUACGGCAAGUCCCAGAAAACAGACCUCGUUUUCCAUACCUUCAGCAGCGGCUCUGGCGCCUUUCGCUUCUUUCCUGGCUCUGGCGCCUUUUGCUUCUUUCUCGGCAGUGGGCAAUCUUUCCAAUUUUUCAACAGCUCGUCUAUUUCCUCGCCGGUCCUCGUACGCGGGCGUCUUCGGGGUUCGGUUUCACCAUCGAACAGAUCCUUGCGUUUUCUCCAUGAGUCAUCGUCGCGAAGCCACCUUCGAUGUCCCAUGAACACGGUUUUCGAAGACCCGGGAUCUCUAUCUAGCUGGCGAUACGUUGUGUCAUCCAUGCACCUGACGCAUCCAGAAAAUCCGUGGACCACCUGCCCCGCGACAUAUCCGUAACCGAUAUAGUCUUGCACCGUCGUGAGCAGUGCGGCUCUCAUAGGGAAAUAUUCUUUCUCUACAGCGUCCCACAUAUUGGCUGGCGUUUUCCACAGCGUGUCUACCUCCUCUUUCACAGCCCCAGAUACAGAUUGAUGUCGUUCCCUGGUUGUUUCGUCCCUUCAAUUAGCAUACUCAUGUGAAUGUACUUCCUCUUCAUGCACAUCCAGGGGGGAAGGUUGUACAUCCACACAAACACAGGCCAGGUGUUCGAAGUUCAACGCUUGCCACUGGCUCGCAUCCUUAGGGUGACUCGGCAUCUUGUCUUUUUUAUUUAUCUCCGGAUCAUUUCCGUCAUCUUCUCGCUUCUUCUCCUCCCUAUCCGCGUGCCAACGCAGGAGCUUUGCUAGCUUAGGGUCCGCGAAAUACCGCUGUAGACGAGGAGUGAUCGGAAAGUACCACACCACUUUUCGAGGAGCUUUCUUCCUCUUCCUGUAUCGAGUGACGCCGCACACCGGACAUAUGGUAGACUCUGCGUGCUCGUCCCUAUAAAUGAUGCAAUUGUUCAUGCACACAUGGUAUUUCACGUGCGGUAAAUCCAGAGGACACACGAUUUUCUUCGCCUCCUCGAAACUGGUCGGGCACUUGUUCCCCUUGGGAAGACGUUCUUGCCAGAAUGACAUGUUCUCGUCGAAGCAUGCCUCGGUAAUUUUGUGUUUUACCUUCAUCUCCAGAGCCAUGAGCGUUACUUUCAGGCGGGUAUCCUCGGGCCUGCAUCCUUCAUACAAUGGAGUAAGCGCGUCUAUCUCCAGUUGAUCCAGCUUGGCUUUCUCUCGGGCGGCAGCUCUUGCGUUAUCCGUCUGCUUGAGAAGCAGCUCUUGAAUAUGAGGGUCCGGCACCCAGCCCAUCGAUGGUCCAUCGUUGUCUGCUCCGGCAUCUUCAUCUUCAUGAUCAUGCCCAUCGUCUGCUCCGGCAUCUUCCUCAUCAUCAUGUCCGACAUCUUCUACAUGAUGACUGUAUACUGCAUCUACUUCGUGAUCAGGUCCUGGAGAUUCUUCGUCUUCUCAUCCGCCCUCGCCGCGGUUGUCUUGCUACCCUUCCUCAUUUCUUGCCCGGCCCCCAUGGACGACUUCAUAAUCAUCUUCAUCACCUUGCCACCGAUAGCCAUCCAUGAAACCACGCAAGAGCAGGUGGUCCCGCACCUGUACGGAAUCCAGGUCCAUAAGGCUGCUCAGCUUGCAUCUUCGACACGGACAUCUUAUCUCCGUCUCGUUCUUUUGAAGCAUCUCGGCCUUCACGGAGCUCAAAAACCUAUUCACGAUGCCUUCGGUCAUCGUGCGGACCAUGGUCGCCUGCGGGGUAGAGCAAAACGAUAUUUUAGAACCAAAAAAAAUUGGCAUGACUUUGCCUAAAAAUAGGACAAAAAAGAAUGCAUAGUGCCAAAUUCUCGCCGAAACGGAAAUGAAUCAACAUUCCGGAAAAAUAUUGGCAACUAUCGCAUUUCAAAUACCGGUACCUGCAAACACAAACAUAUAUGCAACACUACAAACAUAUGCAACACCACAAACAUACGUAGAUCUAGCUAGGCCAUAAAAAGUGCAUGUGCACGUUGUUGGAGGGAGAAAAAGUAGAUCUAGAACAUAAAGAAAGCUUUCCCCUUACUUACCUAUCAAAAAAAAGGUAAUUUAACAACUUAAUUUGGGUGAAUCUAUGGUGCAAAUGAGGUGAGGAGGAGGAGGCAGCCGAGACAAGCUUGGAGGAGGAGGUGGAGAGAAUGAAGUGGGGAAAGUGAGUGCGGUAGGUGGCUGUCCGAAAUAUCUAGCUGGUCUCAGGUUACUAAUGGCGCACCACCUAAAAAUGCGCCAUUAGUAACCCUGGUUACUAAUGGCGCACCUGUCACGUGGUGCGCCAUUACUAGUUUUGCAAAAAAAAAUUGUUAGUAGUGGCGCACCGUGGGUGUGGUGCGCCAUUACUAGUUUGAACUAGUAAUGGCGCACUAUACUCCGGUGCAGCAUUGCUAGUUUUGAAAAAAAAGUAAAAAAAAUUGUUAGUAGUGGCGCACCGUGGGUGUGGUGCGCCAUCACUAGUUUGAACUAGUAAUGGCGCACUAUACUCCGUUGCGCCAUUGCUAGUUUUUAAAAAAAAGUAAAAAAAAAAUUGUUAGUAGUGGCGCACAGAGUGUGUGGUGCGCCAUUACUAGUUAAAACUAGUAAUGGCGCACUAUGCCCUGGUGCGCCAUUACUAGUUUUGGAAAAAUAAAAUAAAAUAAAUUUUGUUAGUAGUGGCGCACCGUGGGUGUGGUGCGCCACUGCUAUAUAGCAGUGGCGCACCACAUAUGCGGUGCACCAUUAAUGUCCAUACACUAGUAGAAAAAGGGUCAAAUGUCAAGCACAUUAGUGCCGGGUUGCUUUUGAGCCGGCACUAAUGUGUGCAUUAGUGCCGGUUCGAACGGCUAUGCAUUAAUGCCGGUUCGUGUUGAACCUUUAAUACCGGUUCGUGCCACGAACCGGUACUAAAGGGGUGGUGGCAGGCUGGCGUCAGGCCGGGGCCCCACGAUCACCUUUAGUACCGGUUCGUGGCACAAACCGGUAUUAAAGGGCUAACCUUUAGUACCGGUUCGUGCCAUGAACUGGGACUAAAGGGGUCUGACCUAUAGUCCCGGUUGGAGACACAAACCGGGACUAUAGGGCAAUUUUCAAACUCUACCCCCCCUUGGACCGCCUUUUUCAGUUUUAGAAAAAACAAAAGAAAAUGAUGGAAAUGUAAAAAAAAAUAAAAUAAAAUAAGUUUCCCAUGUGAUAUGUGGUCUAGUUGUUGGGAAAAUUUACAAAUAUGAAUUUCGACUUUAUUUGCAAAAUCUCUCUGGAAUUUGUAAAAUGGGCAUAACUUUUGCAUACGAACUCGGAUUAAAAAGUUUUUUAUAUGAAAAAUCAUCUACUCGAAAAGUUACAUCCGAACUUUACAUGGGGAACCCCGUUAAACAUUUUCAAAAUCCUCAAAAACCUAACAAAUUUUUUUACGGGGCUUUUAAGAUCUAGAGUGAAAAAAAUGGAAAAAAUCUCAAACUUGGUCAAAUCUGGUCAAACUGUGGUCAAACUAUGGUCAAACUAAUCAUUCUAGAAUAUUAGUGUUACUAAAUAAUUAUUGUUUUUUAAAACAAUAGUUUCAAACUCAAACAGUGAAAUGUGUGACUUCAUGCUCAAGCUAAAUUCCUGAGGGUUAAUAGGAUUGACAUCUUACUAUUGUCAGGAAAACAACAAGUGCAUACUUGGAAAGUAGAGGGAAUAGAACUCCGAAGUUAAGCGUGCUCAGGCUAGGGGAGUGAGAGGAUGGGUGACCGGCCGGGAAGUUAGAUGAUUUAGAAUGAGUGAUCCACACUUGAGUAGUUAAGAGGGGUGAUUAGAGACUAAAUCAUCAAAUAAUUCAGAAAAUCAAAAAUUGAAAAUCAAAUUUUUUUCCAAAAUUUCAAAAAAAAAACUUUAGUACCGGUUGGUAAUCCCCCAUACCACAGCGCGAGCUCACGCCACGUGGUGGGCCUUUAGUGCCGGUUCGUGCCGAACCGGUACUAAAGGGGGGGCUUUAGUCUCCACUCCAUAGUGCCGGUUGCAGAACCGGCACUAAAGGCCCUUACGAACCGGUGAUAUUAUCUAUAGCCCUUUUCCUAGUGGUGAGUCCCUCUUUGCUGAGCGGAACUCUGUAAGUAUUUUCCCUCUGAUCUUCAUUGCUCACUUUAUUUUCCGCAUUGAGAUGUUUUGUGAGUUCCAUCAUGUCAUACCAUAGGCCUACAUGGAGUACACACGCCAGGAGACCAUGGCGUGGCACACGAGCCUUUUAGCAUUUCAUGAGCACAACUCACGCAUGAUGGCGGUUAGUUUGGCCCUUUUCAUUUCACUUCUAUUUUGCACUUGCAUUUCUUCUAACAUUCUUGUUUGCUUGGUCAAUUAACAUGCAGCAUGUUGUUGAGUGCAUGGCGAUCGGCAGGGUUCCUCAAUUGCAACCAGCACCAUCUCCUCCACCACAACCAGUGCUGCUUACUUUUGAGGAGUUUCUAGCACAGAACCCUGGCCCCUCGUCGGUUAGUACAUCCCAAACUAUUCACCCAGAGCAUACCGUUUAUUCAACACAAUCAUAUAUCCCCUUAACAUGUAUUUUCAAUAUCCAGAAAACCGGUGGAUCUACCGUUGGUGGUGGUGCUGGUCUUGGCAUCACUCCCGAGUCAUGGAGCCCGGUCACUCCGAUCCACGGAGGCGGUGGCGGUCUUGGCGGUAGCGCUGCCGCUAGCAGUGAUGACCUGGGCUUUGGCGGACUUGGCGGUGACGACCUUGGCGGCGGUGGUGGAUGUCCUGGCGCUUAAGCCUUUGGGUGACGGUGGUGGUGAUGAUAAACUUGUGUUCUUUAGAUGACUUGUGGUCUUUUAUGGUCUUUUAGAUGACUUGUGUGCUUCUUUAGAUGCUUAUGUUUGUGAUGAUGGUUAUGUUUCUCAUGAUACUUAUAUUGUUGUGAUGGUGUUGGUUGUGAGGAUGAUACUUAUAUAUGCUGUGUAUGUCUAUUUCAUCAUAUAUAUAUAUAUGCUGUGAAUUUGAAUUGAAAUCAAACAGAAAAAAGGAAAAAAAUCAGACGGAAACUAUGCCUACGGCUUAGCCGUAGGCAUAGGGCUACCACGAGCUACCAGAGGACGCCACGUGGAGCCUAUGCCUACAGCUAGGCCGUUGGCAUAUAUCAUCAUAGCCGUAGGCAUAGUUUUAGAUAUAUGCCGACGGCAGAGCUGUAGGCAUAGCCCUGCCCCCGGAGUUAGUAGACGCCACCACGUGGCAGGGCUAUGCCUACGGCGUAGCCGUCGGCAUAGAUUUGAAACUAUGCCUACAGUUAAGCCGGCGGCAUAGCCCCUGCCAUGUGGCAGGGCUAUGCCUACGGCCUAGCCGUAGGCAGAUCUGAAACUAUGCCUACGGCUAAGCCGUCGGCAUAGCCCCUGCCACGUGCCGUCUCCUCUAUGGGCAACACUUGACGGCGUGUCAGGACCGGAUUUUCGGGGUAUCAAUUUCACAAAAAUGGCCCUUGUGCUCACCAGCCCCAGGAUUACUGUUAGCUGAUGAGGCACCAACUUGAUACAGAAAUUCCUAGCAAAAUACAAAAUAUUUGGUACAAGACCAUUCUGGCCUAUGAGUACAACAAAUGGUUUCUAGUGGUUGAUGGCGGAAGCGGUUUGUGGUUCAUCAGUGGCCAUGGGACUCCAUUUCCCACAGGAACAGCUGAACAGGAUAACUCCUAUCUUCGCGAGGCUGCUAUCAUCAUUGCUGUAGGUUCCGGGGCUGUCGUCGCAACGCUCCUCUCCACGCAAGAAAUCUGGCCAAGACAAUAGCCAGGGACAAGCCAGUGAGUACUUUGAAUGUACUCGCAAACAUUAUGAACACAGGUAUAAUAUAACAAAUGACGAUCAUGCUCUGAAAUAUUCUAUGAUCACAACGUCAGCCACGAAAUAAAAAUCCAUGAUGCACGCAAGCAGGUUGUUCAUAUGAAUAUGCAAUAAGGGAGCCGAAAUAGAAUGCACCGAUCGGGUGUCUGAAGCGACGCCUCGAAAGGAUAAUAAUAUAAAGCAUGCCUCACUCGGGCGUCUGAGCGACACCACAUAAAGGGCUCAUAAAUAAUUUAAAAUAACAAGCGUGCCACAGUCGGGUGUCUGAGUGACACCGCAUAAAGGGCUUAUAAGUAAUUUAAAUAACAAGCAUGCCACACUCGGGCGUCUGAGCGACACCACAUAAAGGGCUUAUAAGUAAUUUAAAUAACAAGCAUGCCACAGUCGGGCGUCUGAGCGACACCACAUAAAGGUCUUAUAAGUAAUUUAAAUAACAAGCAUGCCACAGUCGGGCGUCUGAGCGACACCACAUAAAGGGCUUAUAAGUAAUUUAAAUAACAAGCAUGCCACAGUCGGGCGUCUGAGCCACACCACAUAAAGGGCUUAUAAGAGAAUAAUCGCAGUGAGUGUCCAGGAGGUAGAACCGUCCCAGGGAUACUCAAUAACUCAAAUAAUGUAAAUGGUUAGUCCACAAUAAUAAUAAUCAUAAUCCUCAUGUGUCACAGGUCAUAAUCAAUGUUCUGGUUUAGUAGUUUUUCCUCCGAAGAACGACACUUGACACAUCCCAGACUGUAGUCCUUAACCAUGGACACGGCUAUUCGAAUAGAUAUAAUCUCUGCAGAGGGUGUACUCUUUACGCACGAGUAACGGAUUCCUUUAGUCCAUCGGGACUAAUUCCGUCUACGGUCUUUUAAUUGAAAACACACCUGACCGCACACACCAGCCUAACUUACCGGUGUCUGGAAUCACCCACGACACCCAUUAAGCAAAACUCUAAGUGGGGAGGCUACAACCUCGACUAGCAUGGGAUCACAAAAUUUAUAACGCGCGCAAACUAGGGGAGCUACCCCCUCGGCUCCAACCGGAAACACCCAAGCCCCUGGACCAGGUGGCAUGCCUACCGGAUGCAGCCGGUAUCUUCCACCAUGGCCUCUCUGUACGGUGUGUGCUAGAAAGGGGUUGACAACUUACUGAACCGUACCCUACCUAUGGCAGGGACAAGUGGUAGUACGAAACAAGUAUGGGGGUUACUGGAACAAGACUCGAUCUAUGGUCGACUCAGGAGGUUAAGGCAUUCCCUGCAGGAUUAGUAUAACAAAUAGAUUUCACACCAAUAGAUAGAAUCACCACUCAUCAUACCUCACCCUUCCUUAUCGGGCAUAAUCGUCUCAACGAAUUAUUAGAGACAAGUUCGUGUCUACUCAAGACAGAGACUUUCCCGGGUUCCUCCCGAUAGGCAUGAAAGGCAUACGAGGGUGAUUACUAUCCGAAGCAUAUCAAAUUCCAACAGCAAGGAAUCAUCAUUAUGCACUCAUGAAUGUGAUCAUAACACCACAUAGAAUAUCAAAUACUUCAUGUCAAGGUGAUAAAUAAAAGAAAUAGGAAAAAACGGUUCGGGGGGGACGUACUUUGUGCUUUACGCCUUCACUUAUGCCAGCGUGGACCGGCUCUGGGUCACUGACAGUGGGUCCCUUGGGCCCACUGGUCAGGUUUGACCAGUCGCCCGCGCCUCCCUCCUCCUCUGUCCGAGCGGUGGCGGGGUUCCGGCGAUUGACGCCAGCGAACGGCGGCUCCCCACUGGGUUCCGAGGGCAGGGAUGGAUCCGCCAGUCCAGGGCGGUCCUCCCGGUGGUCGAACGGCUGGCGGGGGCGAAGGGAGUCGCCGGCGGCGAGCUCCGCGGCGGAGGUGGCUUCGGAGGAUUGGGGACUAGAGCUACGGUGGCUCCCCGUCGAAGCUGAGAGGUUGGGCGGCUCCGCACGGUCGAGGGGAGGAGGAUGGAAGCACUGGAGGGACAGGAAAGGCUCUGCUUGCGACGUAUGGCACCGGAGCGUGGCGACGGCCGAACUAAUCGGAGAUGAGGAAGAAGGCUUCCCGCCGUCGAUUGCUGGCCGUGGGAGCUUUAGGGGAAUGGCUUGAGGUCGCCUGAGUGUCUGGACGGGCUCGGGGGCACCUUUUAUAGGCGGCCGAGGUCGGUUCCGCGGUGGCCAUGGAUAGGAUUGGCGAACCGCCGUUCUGUAGUAGGCAUAGUGACGUGGCGGCGACGGGCGCUGGUCGGCGCAUUCCGACGAACUCGCCACUGCUCGAGUAGGCGAGCUGGCGCGCGCGUAUGGCUCGGGAGGCGCCGUCCAUGGCAGAGGCCUGCUGUGGCCGUCCGCUAGCUGCCACGACCGACCUGACGGCGGCGCUGCGGGGCUCCAGGAGGUGGUCGGGUGGCUCUGCGAUGAGGGAGGAGUCGGGGCGCGCUGGCAGUGCGAGGGGAGGGAACAGAACGGGUGCGGGGAGGCGGCAGUGGGACGCGGCGACUUGGGCGCACGCACGUGCAAAACGCGCGCUGUGGCCGCGCCCAGAGCACGCACGCUGCAUGCUCGUCGAAAUGCCAACAUGUGUUAGAGAGCUCGAAUGAUGCUGGUAGUAAACAGGUCUAGGUUAGUGGUAGGUAGGAGCUUAGUGGACAAGUUUGUUGGGUCAGAGGGUCAAGCUCACAAUGCGAACUAAAAAUCAUGCCAAAUCUGGCUAUGCACACAAAGUGCUCGACAGAAUGUUAUGGGCAUCUAGGCAUCUCUUGGGGUGGCCAAAAACUCCAGGUCCUAGUCUCUUUGGAUGAUAAAGAGGGUGGCAAGGUUAGUUUGUUAAAAACAAAAACUUGUUAGUGCAAGUUUUUGAGAAAACCAAAUCUGGACAGAAACUAAAUGCUAUCUUUGCAUGGACCAAAAUUACUCCAAUGGGUCCACUCUCUUGGACUUAAGGGUUUUGCAGGGUGGACUAUAAGCAGGAAAAAGAAUCAUGGGCAACAGAGCAAACAAAAAUAGAGUUGCAGUAGAAAAUGCCAAACUGGACCAGAGAGCAGAAGAGGAUGAUUUGCUCAAAUUUUUCAAAGAACACUCAUGGGUUUUUGCAUAAAGUUGAAUUAUAUGCAUCUACUGACAUCUCCAAACACUUGGAAGAAUUUUUAAAGAAAUAUUUAAAUAGGUUGUAGUGCAAAAUUACCAACUGGACCAGAUUUGAAAAUUUGGUGUAGAGCUCAAAAUCUCCAAUGACCAAAAGAUAUUUUUGCAUAAAAGUGAUGUGGAAACAUCACAUGACAUCCCCAAAUUUUGGUUGAAAUUUUAAAGAAGUAUUUGAAAGGGUUACAGUGCAAAAGAGGCUCCAUAACUAAUGAAAAAUCAUUUUUAGAAGAAUAAAGCUCAGGAAAAACAAUUAUGCAAAUAAACCCACUGAUAAAAGAAAUGUUUUCUUGAGAGGGUAUACAAGUCCAAUAAUAUUUUUGGAAGGUUUUCACUUGGGGUAAAGACUUCACAAUAUCAAAGAAAAGAGAGGUUCUGAAAUCAAAAGAUAAAUCCAGAAAAUAAAAAUUUAAUUUCCUGGCAAAAUCUUAAUAAACAAAAUAUGGUUAAAUUUUUGGGGUGUUACAACACUACCCCCCUUAAGAAAAAUCUCGUCCUCGAGAUUUGCUAAGGGAUGUUUUGAAAAAAAUACUCCUAUUAGCUGAAACCAAACAGUUUACUCAUAGCACAAACUUAGGGUACGACGCAUAAGCUGCAACGCAUAAAUAAAUGCUGGGACAAUGAACAUAGCAGUGGUGUCUACAAUGAAAACGGUAAAUAGACAGGGUCCUGAGAAAAAGUCUCUGGUAUUGGGGCACACUCCUCUUCUAUUGGGGGAAGCGGAUUGACUAGUCGAUGGAUGCGUCUCUCCUGGUCGGGCCUCAGUGGUCUGCCGAUGGCGAUCUGAGGAUUUAAAUCAGCGAGGCUCUGGAGAUAACCCAUUACUCGCUGGGUUAAAUGCUCUUGAGCGAUGACAUACUGUGCAAGGUUGGCCAGCACUGGGUCUCUCUCAAUUCGUUCGCCGGGAAAAGAUGCUACUUCUCCGGGUGCUGCACGACUGGGGAAGUAAUAAUACCCUCGUUCGCUGGCAUAGGGCACCGUGAAUCGAAGGCGAGCGAGUGCUUCAUACGCAGCAGCUUCUACGGCCAUUUGCGGAGUCGGCAUAGAUUUCCCCACGAAGGAGACUUCCGUUGGGUCUUGGUUUGGGUUUGUGGGAGGGAUGUGCACCACUGCCCAAUAUUUCGAGGUGGAUGGGGUGAUCCUCGAUUUGAGCAACUCGAACUGGGGAGGAUGGGUGGCACUCAUGGUACUGCAGGUGAAGUCCCACAAUAUUUUGACAAAACUACCUGGGGUGGCAUCUGGAGUUCUCAGAUAAAUACUGGGGCUCGGCAUGGCAAAGGAAUGGCUGUGCGAGUUAUGCACAAGGUGAGAGAUACUUGGCAAGGUCACGAGGUGGCCUUUUAUAUAGCAUCUGGGCGGGGUCAUUUAUCGUGGUGAAGGGUAACUAGUUUGUCGGUUCUGCUCUUGGGGUCGGGGUCAAUGCCACAGAUACACAUAUCUCAUAAAUGUGACGCAUUGCUAUGGGUAUCGUCGGGGGUGGUUUUUGGUAGCUACGCCGGAAUAAAAAAACAAUCGUACAUCAACAUACUUAUGCAUGGCUACUAUUUAAAAUAGGGGCGCACAAGCAGACAACAUUUAAUUAUGGUGCUACAAGGUCACACGAUUACGAGGCGUAGAAAAACAUCAGGCUCGGUACUACUCGAGUGACUUAGUCUACCUCGUUAAUAUCUAAGCGGGCUUGCCUUGUGGACGUCGAGGCUUCUCCACGGGUUUCACUGUCGGGGUUAGCUGGAGGGGGUUGAGGAACUGCAGGGUCGGGGUAGCGAUGAUGACCAUCGCGGGGGUUGUUGGCCACAAUCCCGUUGGAGCGUGUUCCCAAAAGGCGACGAAGCACUUCUAGGGACACCAAAGCAUUUUGGUCGAUGGCUGGGGCAGUCCUCCAGGACUUGAUCGGUUGUCCGAACAGCAUGACUGGGUUGUCGGCGUCGGGCUCAUCUUCUCUUCUUGUCGGGGCUCGGCGAAUCAGUUCUCCAUGAGCUGCGAUCAGAUCAAGGGUGAUUUGAUCGCACAGUUCCUCUAGUGCACUUACAUAGCGCACCAGAUGCAACAAUGCAGGAUCUGUCUCGUGAUCUCCGUUGGCAACCUGGGGUGGCCUACCAUACCCGUCACGGCUGGGGUAGUAGUAGAACGAGCAACAGUUAACUCUGGGCGACAAGUGCCGGAGUUGAACUAUAGCCUCUCGAGCAGCUAGUUGGAUGGCUUGUGCCUCAAAGGCAGUUGUCCUUCCGGUGAACCUGUAGGGGCGUUCUGGCGAUAGACCCCUACCGUAGACGUGCACAGUGGCCCAGAAUUGACGGCUCUCACUGCUCAUGGGCCCUUGGUACACAACAUAUUCUGGGGGCUCUUCUAAUGCAAAGGCACGGCGGGUGAGGUUUGCUAGCACGGUCACAAAACCUCCAAGGUUGGUUGCUGUGGUCUCACUAUGAACAAUGGGUCCAGGCAUUAUAGCUUGGUUUGGGGUAGAGGCUGUGCUGUGCUGGGUUGAGGCUAGCGUGCCCUUUUUAUAAAAAAGGGGACGGAGUCUUCCUUCGCACGCUUGCGAAUAAGACACUUUAGGUGCCGGUCACUGGCGCGUGAUCGAUAGGCUAGGCUGAUAGGUUGGGCACCGACUGCCAAAAGGUGCCGGGUCACUGUGUGGCUAUCUUACACGAGAAGCUUGGCUGGGGUUUAGGUUAAGGUCUGGUGGGUUGGUUAACCUAGGUUUAUUGACCUGGCUAAGAUAGGAUUAGCGAAUGGUCAGCCUGGCUCUGAUACCAAGGUUGUCAGGACCGGAUUUUCGGGGUAUCAAUUUCCCAAAAAUGGUCCUUGUGCUCACCAGCCCCAGGAUUACUGUUAGCUGAUGAGGCACCAACUUGAUACAGAAAUUCCUAGCAAAAUACAAAAUAUGUGGUACAAGACCAUUCCGGCCUAUGAGUACAACAAAUGGUUUCUAGUGGUUGAUGGCGGAAGCGGUUUGUGGUUCAUCAGUGGCCAUGGGACUCCAUUUCCCACAGGAAUAGCUGACCAGGAUAACUCCUAUCUUCGCGAGGCUGCUAUCAUCAUUGCCGUAGGUUCCGGGGCUGUCGUCGCAAUGCUCCUCUCCACGCAAGAAAUCUGGCCAAGACAAUAGCCAGGGACAAGCCAGUGAGUACUUUGAAUGUACUCGCAAACAUUAUGAACACAGGUAUAAUAUAACAAAUGAUGAUCAUGCUCUGAAAUAUUCUAUGAUCACAACGUCAGCCACGAAAUAAAAAUCCAUGAUGCACGCAAGCAGGUUGUUCAUAUGAAUAUGGAAUAAGGGAGCAGAAAUAGAAUGCACCGAUCGGGUGUCUGAAGCGACGCCUCGAAAAGAUAAUAUUAUAAAGCAUGCCUCAGUCGGGCGUCUGAGCGACACCACAUAAAGGGCUCAUAAAUAAUUUAAAAUAACAAGCGUGCCACAGUCGGGUGUCUGAGUGACACCGCAUAGUGGGCUUAUAAGUAAUUUAAAUAACAAGCAUGCCACAGUCAGGCGUCUGAGCGACACCACAUAAAGGGCUUAUAAGUAAUUUAAAUAACAAGCAUGCCACAGUCGGGCGUCUGAGCGACACCACAUAAAGGGCUUAUAAGUAAUUUAAAUAACAAGCAUGCCACAGUCGGGCGUCUGAGCGACACCACAUAAAGGGCUUAUAAGUAAUUUAAAUAACAAGCAUGCCACAGUCGGGCGUCUGAGCGACACCACAUAAAGGGCUUAUAAGAGAAUAAUCGCAGUGAGUGUCCAGGAGGUAGAGCCGUUCCAGGGAUACUCAAUAACUCAAAUAAUGUAAAUGGUUAGUCCACAAUAAUAAUAAUCAUAAUCCUCAUGUGUCACAGGUCAUAAUCAAUGUUCUGGUUUAGUAGUUUUUCCUCCGAAGACCGACACUAAGACCGACACUUGACCCAUCCCAGACUGUAGUCCUUAACCAUGGACAUGGCUAUUCGAAUAGAUAUAAUCUCUGUAGAGGGUGUACUCUUUACCCACGAGUAACGGAUUCCUUUAGUCCAUCGGGACUAAUUCCGUCUACGGUCUUUUAAUUGAAAACACACCUGACCGCACACACCAGCCUAACUUACCGGUGUCUGGAAUCACCCACGACACCCAUUAAGCAAAACUCUAAGUGGGGAGGCUACAACCUCGACUAGCAUGGGAUCUCAAAAUUUAUAACGCGCGUAAACUAGGGGAGCUACCCCCUCGGCUCCAACCAGAAACACCCAUGCCCCCGGACCAGGUGGCAUGCCUACCGGAUGCAGCCGGUAUCUUCCACCAUGGCCUCUCUAUACGGUGUGUGCUAGAAAGGGGUUGACAACUUACUGAACCGUACCCUACCUAUGGCAGGGACAAGUGGUAGUACGAAACAAGUAUGGGGGUUACUGGAACAAGACUCGAUCUAUGGUCGACUCAGGAGGUUAAGGCAUUCCCUGCAGGAUUAGUAUAACAAAUAUAUUUCACACCAACAGAUAGAAUCACCACUCAUCAUACCUCACCCUGCCUUAUCGGGCAUAAUCGUCUCAACGAAUUAUUAGAGACAAGUUCGUGUCUACUCAAGACAGAGACUUUCCCGGAUUCCUCCCGAUAGGCAUGAAAGGCAUACGAGGGUGAUUACUAUCCGAAGCAUAUCAAAUUCCAACAGCAAGGAAUCAUCAUUAUGCACUCAUGAAUGUGAUCAUAACACCACAUAAAAUAUCGAAUACUUCGUGUCAAGGUGGUGUCGUAUUUGCAUCAAAUGACGCACAAAAAAUAUUAUGCCGGGCUUCAGAAUGCUUGCCUUCAAGAGUAUGCAAGUGGGGGUGCACUUUUUGAAAGUUGCCUUCUUCUUCAAAAUCCUAUUUUUGAAAAUAUUCAAAUUAACGCAUAGUUUAAAAACAGUACAAAAAAGUUGUUUGGAAAAUUUUCAAAUAAGUAUGAAAAUAAACUAGACAAAAUUUGAGAAACAACAGAAAAAGAAUCAAGUCAAUUGGACUUAUAUUUAAAAAGUUAUAGCCAGUCAAAGUUUUGGUCAAAAUCUGUUUUUAAAUAGAUAAAUAAAAGAAACAGAAAAAAAUGGUUCGGGGGGGGGGGACGUACUCUGUGCUUUACGCCUUCACUUAUGCCAGCGUGGACCGGCUCUGGGUCACUGACAGUGGGUCCCUUGGGCCCACUGGUCAGGUUUGACCAGUCGCCCGCGCCUCCCUCCUCCUCUGUCGAGCGGUGGCGGGGUUCCGGCGAUUGACGCCGGCGAAUGGCGGCUCCCCACUGGGUUCCGAGGGCAGGGAUGGAUCCGCCAGUCCAGGGCGGUCCUCCCGGUGGUCGAACGGCUGGCGGGGGCGAAGGGAGUCGCCGGCGGCGAGCUCCGCGGCGGAGGUGGCUUCGGGAGGAUUGGGGACUAGAGCUACGGUGGCUCCCCGUCGAAGCUGAGAGGUUGGGCGGCUCCGCACGGUCGAGGGGAGGAGGAUGGAAGCACUGGAGGGACGGGAAAGGCUCUGCUUGCGACGUAUGGCACCGGAGCGUGGCGGCGGCCGAACUGAUCGGAGACGAGGAAGAAGGCUUCCCGCCGUCGAUUACUAGCCGUGGGGGCUUUAGGGGAAUGGCUUGAGGUCGCCUGAGUGUCUGGACGGGCUCGGGGCUCCUUUUAUAGGCGGCCGAGGUCGGUUCCGCGGUGGCCGUGGAUAGGAACGGCGAACCGCCGUUCUGUAGCAGGCAGGGCGACAUGGCAGCGACGGGCGCUGGUCGGUGCAUUCCGACGAACUCCCCACUGCUCGAGUGGGCGAGCUGGCGCGCGCGUAUGGCUCGGGCGGCGCCGUCCAUGGCAGAGGCCUACUGUGGUCGUCCGCCAGCUGCCACGGCCGACCUGACGGCGGCGCUGCGGGGCUCCAGGAGGUGGUCGGGUGGCUCUGCGAUGAGGGAGGAGUCGGGGCGCGCUGGCAGUGCGAGGGGAGGGAAUAGAACGGGUGCGGGGAGGCAGCAGUGGGACGCGGCGACUCGGGCGCACACACGUGCAAAACGCGCGCUGUGGCCGCGCCCAGAGCACGCACGCUGCAUGCUCGUCGAUGCCAACGUGUGUUAGAGAGCUCGAAUGAUGCUGGUAGUAAACAGGUCUAGGUUAGUGGUAGGUAGGAGCUUAGUGGACAAGUUUGUUGGGUCAGAGGGUCAAGCUCACAAUGCGAACUAAAAAUCAUGCCAAAUCUGGCUAUGCACACAAAGUGCUCGACAGAAUGUUAUGGGCAUCUAGGCAUCUCUUGGGGUGGCCAAAAACUCCAGGUCCUAGUCUCUUUGGAUGAUAAAGAGGGUGGCAAGGUUAGUUUGUUAAAAACAAAAACUUGUUAGUGCAAGUUUUUGAGAAAACCAAAUCUGGACAGAAACUAAAUGCUAUCUUUGCAUGGACCAAAAUUACUCCAAUGGGUCCACUCUCCUGGACUUAAGGGUUUUGCAGGGUGGACUAUAAGCAGGGAAAAGAAUCAUGGGCAACGGAGCAAACAAAAAUAGAGUUGCAGUAGAAAAUGCCAAACUGGACCAGUGAGCAAAAGAGGAUGAUUUGCUCAAAUUUUUCAAAGAACACUCUUGGGUUUUUGCAUAAAGUUGAAUUAUAUGCAUCUACUGACAUCUCCAAACACUUGGAAGGAUUUUUAAAGAAAUAUUUAAAUAGGUUGUAGUGCAAAAUUACCAACUGGACCAGAUUUGAAAAUUUGGUGUAGACCUCAAAAUCUCCAAUGACCAAAAGAUAUUUUUGCAUAAAAGUGAUGUGGAAACAUCACAUGACAUCCCCAAAUUUUGGUUGAAAUUUUAAAGAAGUAUUUGAAAGGGUUACAGUGUAAAAGAGGCUCCAUAACUAAUGAAAAAUCAUUUUUAGAAGAAUAAAGCUCAAGAAAAACAAUUAUGCAAAUAAACCCACUGAUAAAAGAAAUGUUUUCUUGAGAGGGUAUACAAGUCCAAUAAUAUUUUUGAAAGGUUUUCACUUGGGGUAAAAAUUCAUAAUAUCAAAGAAAAGAGAGGUUCUGAAAUCAAAAGAUAAAUCCAGAAAAUAAAAAUUUAAUUUCCUGGCAAAAUUUUGAUAAACAAAAUAUGGUUCAAUUUUUGGGGUGUUACACGGCGGCGCCGGCAGCCACCGUUAGCGUGGAACUUUGCCGACGGCCCUGGCCGUAGGCAUAGAUGUACGGACACCGUCGGCAUAUCAUCUAUGCCGACGGCAUCCCGAGAUAUGCCGACGCAUAUGUUGCCGACGGCCCUAUGCCUACGAGGGCUGUCGGCAUAGGCCUAUCCCGACGGGAAUCAGGGCUAUGCCUACGGCCUGGCUCGUAGGCAUAGGGGUUUAUUCUGGUAGUGUUGGAGGUGGAAGAAUCCUCCUCAUGUGAAGGCAUGUUCUGACAGGCCGGGUGAUUGGGGCUGUAUUGCAAGAGGGGAUGAUGGCUUGGCAUGAUGAGGCUCUCGCACUAAUCAACAACCUUAGUUCAGCUCAACACUUCAGUAUGGGGCUUGUUGGGGAUAUAACUCUGAGGCGUGACCCGCCCAGGAGGGGCCGGGUUACACCAUUGACGACUUAACAUGUGGAAAGCCCAAGUAGGCCUAAGAGGACAAAGUGCGGAGAUGGCCUGAUAGGAGUGGGCCUGGCGAGAGCCCAAGACCCGGACAUGUGAACUGCCAUUUGGUAGCUUGUUUGUUAAGGCAAGGUAAUUUAGAAACCAGGCCGGUCAUGUUGUGUGAUCCGGCUCGGACUCUUGUAAGCCGCCGGGCUUCGAUCUGUGUAUAUAAAAGUGAGACCCGGCGGCGGGUUAAGGGGAGAAAAAAACAAUCAAUCAAGAGCUAGGUCAAGAGUAUUCGCUCCCUUGUAAUCGAAACUCAAGCAAUACAACUAGGAGGAUAUAGGCUUUUACCUCGUUGUGAGGGGCGAACCUGGGUAAAUCAUUUGUGUCCUUUGUCCCGUUCAACCACUUUGAGCUAACCUACAUCGUGAUGGCUCCACAUCUAAGUCUUUUCACAAGGGUAUCUGCCGUGUCAAACCCACGACAGUUGGCACCCACCGUGGGGCUAGAGCACGUUGGUUUCGAGUUCUUGUAGGGUAGCUUCUCAGGGAUCAAGGGAUAUACUAUGGGCCGGAUGACCAAGAGUCGCCGCGGCAAAAUCUACAUCGACGACGCUGGCUAGGGUCCCGAGGCCGACUCAAUCGAGUACGGGUAGCGGGCCCCCUUUUGCGGAAUUCACAUCUUCAUCGGCAAGAUCAGCAAGUCAGAGCCUGAGCCGGACGCCAGCACCAACAUCAUUGAACAUACAGUCGCAAUUGUAUUCGCUCAACGCCCCGUCAGAGUCGCGAUUGUAUUCAUACAGUCGCGAUUGUAUCCAUUCAACGCCCCGUCAGAUUUGCAGCUAUGUCCGCCGUAUCGAAUCGCCGGUGGUUUCCAGCAGUGAGCGGCAUCGUAACCCGCCUCGAGCUGAUAACCCGCCGCGCGAUCAUAGUGCUGCUCAGGCCCUUGCGGAUCAAGCUAGAGUGCGUCGCGAGGUAGAAUUGGUGGCUCAAGUGGGGGCUCACCAGCAGUUUCAGUUGAAUCCUUCUGUGUCUAUGGAAGCUGGGAUGACCUCCAGGUCAGUUGGAGUGCCAUAUAUCUAGUGACGGCUCUACACAAUGAGCGUCUGCCCAAAGAUUUUAAGGGUCCUCGUAAGGUGCCUAAUUACACAGCUGAUCUUCCACCUGAGGCUUGGAUCGAGGGCUAUGAGCUGGCUAUGGAGAUGUUGGAUGUUAAUGAUGUUGUAUGUGCCAAGUACUUCACCAUGAUGCUACAUGGACCGGCUCGAACCUAGUUGAAGGGGUUACCUGCCAACUCCAUCAAUUUGUGGGUUGAGCUGAAUGCGCGCUUUAUUCAGAAUUUCAAAGACACGUGUAAGCAGCCUCUGUCAAUUAUUGAUCUAGAUGCUUGUGUCUAGUGCGAGGAUGAGUCGGCCCACCACUGGGUACGUCGGGUUUCAGCUAUUAUCCCCUCAUCGGAUAGCAUCACAGCCGUCUCUACUGUUUUGAUUUUAGAAAAGAAUUGCCACUUCAUGCCCCUCAAACAUAAGUUGGGGUGGCUUAAACGUCACUGUAACGACAUGGGAGAGCUCAUGGAUGCUCUGAUCAAAUACGCCGACUCAAACAACACUAAGGACCCUGGGUUCAAUGAGGAGAAGUCCAACAAGGGGAAGAAGAACGACAAUGGUAAGGGUCAGGAACAAAAUAUGACAGGACACAAUCAGGGCAACAACGGUAAGCGCAAGCAAAACGAUGGUGGGUCAGAUUUUGUGGCUAAUACCAAUGUAUAGCAUAGCAAUCAGCGUCGUAAGGGAAAGCCACCACAGUUUGGAGGACCAAGAUUUAACCUUGAGGCGAUGUUGAACGAGCCGUGCCCAAAGCAUAGUCCUCCGAAUAAGCCGUCAUGUCAUUUGUGGAAGGAUUGUUUUAUUAUGAAGCUAUAUAAGAAUUCCGGUUUUGAUCAGAAUCAUAAUAACAAUAAUGGCCCACAUGGCGGGUCAGGGUCCGGCUCGCAUGGCCCAGGUUUUGGGGGCGGCAGCUCAAAUUCUAGAUAUCAAGGUGAGGGCAAUCAUGGCGGUUAUCACCAGCAGCCCAAUCAGGUUAACCAGCAACAUCAGUUAGGGUAUUAGAGUAAUCCAAAGCAGCUUAACAGUGGCUAGUACAUGUUUUCACCACAAACCUUUGCAAGCGAGAUCAGAAGGUUCAUAACGUAUGGUAAAUGCAGUUGAACCGGCGGUACCUCAAUAUUUACGGUGGUCAGAGAAGUCAAUUGUAUGGAGUCGUAAGGAUCACCUGCCCCGGGUUGACAAUCCGGGUCAGCUAGCAUUAGUAGUAGCCCCUCAAGUCGGGGGUUAUAAAUUCACUAAGGUGCUUAUGGAGGAGGCAGCAUCAUCAAUAUCCUUUAUUAUGAUACCUUUCGCAGCAUGAAUUUGACUGACAAAGAUCUUAAGUCGUCCUCUACAGUCUUCAAUGGUGUGGUACCUGGUAAAUCGGCAUAUCCAGUUGGUAAGAUUGCCUUAGAAGUGGUUUUUGGCAAUGACUAUGAUUACAGGGCAGAAACAUUGUGGUUUGAAGUGGUUAAAAUAAAAAAAAAUCCUUAUCACGCUUUGUUUGGACGGCCGGCUUACGCCAAAUUUAUGGCGCGUCCUUGUUAUGUGUAUCUGCAGCUUAAGAUGCCAGGAUGUAAGGGUACCAUUACAGUUCAUGGUAAUCGAAAGAUUUCUUUGGAAUGCGAGGAAGGUGAUGCUGCUUAUGUUGUGUCUGCUUGUGCUACAGAGGAACUUAAAUUUUACAAGGAUAAUAUUGACCCGGCUGAGAUGACCCCUUUAAAAAAGCCAACCACAGAGCAAGACCCUUUGCUGAAGUUUAAGUCUGUGGAUGAUACCAAACAGGUUGAUUUUGUCCCUAGCGACUCAUCUCAGCAGUUCACUAUCAGUGCUAAUAUGGAUCAAAAAUAGGAAAGCAUGCUUAGCGAGUUCAUCCGUGAGAAUCGGGACAUCUUUGCAUGGAAGCCUUCGGACAUGCCGGGUGUAUCGAGCGAACUCGCUAAGCACACUCUCAAUAUUGAUCCUAAAUUUACGCCGGUGAAGCAAUUCCUUCACCGUUUUAAUGAAGAGCGACGUAAGGCCAUUGGAGAAGAGGUGGCCUGGCUCUUAGCGGCCGGGUUCAUUGUCGAUGUUUUUCACCCUGAGUGGUUGGCUAACCCGGUGCUGGUACAUAAGAAAAAUGGCACUUGGCGUAUGUGUGUGGAUUAUACAGACCUCAAUAAAGCUUGUCUAACUGAUCUUUUUGCUCUUCCCCAUAUCGACCAGAUCAUAGAUGCUACGGCGGGUUGUGAGCGUUUGUGUGAUGCCUAUUCUGGUUACCAUCAUAUCAAGAAGGCAGUCAAAGACUAAGAGAAGACCACUUUUAUCACACAUUUUGGAGCUUUCUGCUAUGUGUCUAUGCCUUUUGGGCUCAAAAGUGCCCAGGCGACUUAUCAGCAUUGUGUCGAGAACUGUUUCCAUAGUAAGAUUGGACGCAAUGUUCAUGCUUAUGUGGAUGAUAUUGUUGUGAAGUCCAGAAAGAAGGAGACUCUGUUGGAUGAUCUAAAAAAUGAUGCUUAACCCGGCCAAAUGUGUUUUUCGUGUGCCUGCAGGCAAGCUCUUGGGUUUUUUGGUCUCGGAGAGAGGUAUUGAAGCUACCCGGGGAAAAUCAAAGCUAUCACUUCGUUGGCUAAGCCGGCGUGCGUCAAUGACGUCCAGUGUUUGGCGGAUCGUAUUACAGCUUUAAGCCGGUCUAUAAGCCGCCUGGGAGAGAAGACUAUUCCUCUGUACCAGAUGAUGAAGAAAAUAUAUCAUUUGGUCUUGAGUGAUGCUGCUAAUGAGGUGUUUGAGGCGCUUAAAACAGUUAGCUAAGCCGCCGGUUCUUGCAGCUCCUAUUGAGAAAGAGCGUUUGCUCUUAUAUGUGGCUGCUAAUGGUAAGGCUGUCAGUGUGGCAAUUGUUGUGGAGCGCAAAGAAGCGGGUAAGGAGUAUCCGGUCCAUGGGCCGGCUUAUUAUGUCAGUGAGGUGUUGAUUGAAUCCAAGCAGAGAUACCCACAUUGGCAGCAGCUGGUUUACGGAGUGUUCAUGGCGAGUCGUAAGCUGAAGCACUACUUUCUGGGCCAUCCUAUUAUUGUGGUCAGUUUUGCUCCUUUAGGAGAUAUUAUUCAAAACAGAGAGGCCACUGGCCGGGUUGCCAAGUGGGCAAUAGAGCUUGGACCUCAUGGCUUGAAAUAUGUGCGAAGAACAGCAAUCAAGUCUCAGGCCCUAGUGGAUUUCAUCAACGACUGGACGGAGUUAUAGACGCUUGAGGAGAAGCCUGAUAACACAUAUUGCACUAUUCAUUUUGAUGGGUCCAGGCAAUUGGAAGGCUCGGGGGCUGGAGUUAUUUUGACUUCCCCACGAGGUGACAAUUUUUGUUAUGUUUAAGGCUGAUGUUUCCCUAUACUAACAAUGCAGCUGAGUAUGAGGCCUUGCUCCAUGGCCUUAGGAUGGCCAAAGAGAUGAAUUUAAGCUGGGUUACGUGCUUUGGUGAUUCAGAUUUAGUGGCUCAACAAGUUUCAGGCACUUGGGAUUCCAAAGACCCGCUCAGGCAGCUUAUCGUCGGGAGGUUGACAAUAUUGCUGGUCACUUCAAAGGUUAUCAGGUGGAGCAUCUUGAUCGAAGAAAGAAUGAGGCAGCUGAUGCUUUGAGCCGGCUUGGGCCUCAACGUAAGCCGGUACCCCCUAAUAUUUUUCUUGAUGUAUUACAUUAUCCUUCUAUCAAAUUGCCAUCAGAAGAUCUUCCUAUUCCUGACCCGGAGGCACGGCUGGUGGCGGCUCUUCAUGCAAUCCCUGAUUGGACAGUUCCCUAUUUGGCAUAUAUGACCCGGGGCGAAUUACCUGAGGAUGAAACUUUGGCCAGGCAGAUAACCCGGCGGUCUAAGUCUAUGUCUAUUUUCAAUGGCGAGUUACACCUCUGCAGUGUCACAGGCGUGUUCCAGUGUUGUGUUUCUCCUGAAGAAGGCCAUGAGAUUCUAAGGGAAAUCCAUGAAGGUGAUUGUGGUCAUCACGCCGGCUCUAAAUCUCUUGUGGCUAAAGCUUUCCGUCAUGGAUUUUACUGGUUGACGGCUUAUGCUGAUGCGGAGGAUCUUGUCAGUAAGUGUGAUGGCUGUCAGAAAUUCUCUCAACGGGCUCAUGUGCCGGCUCAAGAAUUGCAGAUGAUUCCAAUUACUUGGCUAUUUGCAGUCUGGGGGCUUGAUAUGGUUGGACCUUUCAAGAGAUCUAAGGAUAAGAAGACUCGCCUUUUGGUGGCGGGUGACAAAUUUACCAAGUGGGUUGAGGCAGAGCCGGUCAGUAAGUGUGAUGCGGCAACGGCGGUUCAAUUCAUAAAGAAAGUAAUCUUCCGUUUUGGUUACCCUCAUAGUAUCAUAACUGACAAUGGCACUAAUCCGUCUAAGGGUGCUAUGAGAGAGUUCUGUCAACGGGAGCAUAUUCGUCUUGACGUCUCAUCAGUGGCUCAUCCACAGUCUAAUGAUCAAGCUGAGAGGGCCAAUCAGGAAAUCUUGAGAGGUAUAAAGCCCCGUCUUAUGGUUCCUUUGUAGCGAACGUCGAAUUGUUGGGUUGAUGAGUUACCCUCAUUAAUUUGGAGCAUCAAUACUACUCCCAACAGGUCAACAGGCUAUACGCCCUUUUUCAUGGUCUACGGGGCAGAGGCGGUUCUUCCAAGAGAUAUCCGUCAUGACUCGCCUCGUGUGGCGGCUUACGUUGACGCUGCUAAUGAAAUAGCACGUCAGGAGGCACUUGAUGUGUUGGAUGAGGAGCGUGACCUUGCGGCGGCUCAUUCGGCGAUAUAUCAGCAAGAUCUGCGUCACUACCAUAGCCGCAGAGUCAAGACCCGAACCUUUUAGGAAGGCAACUUGGUGCUCCGUUUAAUCCAAGAUCAAACAGAUAUGCAUAAGCUAUCCCCACCUUGAGAAGGACCCUUUAUGGUCAGCAAGAACCUGAACAACGGGUCAUACUACCACAUUGAUAUACGAGAACACAAGGACUCGAAUAAGUCGGAGGAAGAGACUCGCCGGCCUUGGAACAUCGCUCAUCUUCGGCCUUAUUACACUUGAGCCACCGGCUCUUGUCGUUGUACAUACUAUUAUCAAUAUAUAUAUUAUGAUCUAUAUAAUAAAGCCGGCAUCCUUGAUAAUUCAGGGCUUCUGUCGUUUCAUUUCUAAGCAUCCGAGUUUUUAUUAAUUGUUCAUAAGGUCACUUGGGGGCUUCCAACCCACCGGGUUUAGCUUUCAUACCCUCUUGACCAGGCGUGAACGUUGAAUCCUGAGUUAUCCUGUCUGUAUGCACGAUGCUACUCCGCCAGGUAAUCCUAAAUGACCCGCCGUACUCUUAACAGUCAACCUUUUUCAAGACCCUGAACUCGUUAAGGUUAAAACGGCGGUUUGUCAUGUGAGGGCCCGCUUACGGUGAGCAAGGAUUAACUCAGUGGUUGUGCGGCCCAUGAAAGCACUUGGGUUUUAAGGCUUGGCGGCCUAUGAAAGCACACGAUUUUUUUCUGGAUUUCUGUUUCUUCUGACCAUUUUGGACUUGUAUAUUUUCCGCUCAAGUGCGCUUUUUACAACUCGGGCCAUGCAGCCCUGAACAUAUGACUCAUAUUUGAGAAUUUUUGGGUUUGGUAACCCGCCCUGAUAGCAGACUUUAAGUCACCGGGAUAUUUUUUUGCCUUGACCAAUAAAAAUCAUGAUAUUCAUGACUUCGGGUUGAUACCCGCUCCGAAUCAUAAUUAUCAAGGCAUCACCCUAGUGUCAAUCUACAGGAAAUAUGAAAAUAUUGAUCUGACCCACAAGGAUGAUGAUAUUAUGAGAAAAGCACAGUGGCGGAUCUUAUAUAUCAAAUUGACAAUUUAAAAUUUAAAGGCUAAACAUGCACGGCGACAUGACAGAUCAUUGUUUAAUCUAGCCUAUUACAAAUAUAUCCCAAGCCCAAAAAUUGAGAGUGUUUUUCCACUGAAGCAUUAUACCGCAGUCAUUAUGGAUGGGCCUAAGCCCCAUAUAAGACAAUAAUCCCUGGUUAAUCUCUAAGGCCCAUGCAUAUGUACGACAAGUGGUGGGAAGUGUGGGAAGUUUAGUACCAUACUGCUACAGUAAGAAGAGUGAGACCUCUUUAUAGGGGCGCUCUACCACUUGCUAUUGGGAGCUUGGGAAUAGGAGCUAUCCACACGCGCUUCUCCGCCGCCCGCCUCGCCUCAUCACAACGCGCGCGCGCCACUGGUUGCUGGUUGCAGGAAUGAGCUGAGCCGAAGCUUAUUUUUGCCGGUCAGGAAUGGUUAAUUAGUUAACGAGUCACUUCCAGAAGCGCCACUGUCCAAGACAUUGGACCGUGGGCUAUUUGCGGACUCGAUCGUGGGCCUGGCCCAGGCCCAUCUACCUGACGGCCUAUAUAAGAAGGCACUAGCUAGUGGAGUGAACCCUAACUGAGUUCACUCACUCCCUUUCGCGCAUCCCUAGCCGUCAUCUACUAUUCCUCUCUUUGUGCUGCUUCCGGCGAUCCCAUCCCGACGACCGCGUGCACGGUUGGUCAGGAGAGCAGGUGCCUCCAGAACCCUGUCAUUCGAGAUCCUGCACGGGAGAACGGCAAUAAGGUUUUUGGGGAGCGUCUCGAUGCGACUGCUCCCGAUCAGUACCCGUCUCCAUUCGCCUCUGCUUCCACUACUUCCCCUGCAUCGACUCCAUGGCUGACGACGAAGCCGCCAAGAAGAAGGCCUCGGUCGAUGCCGAGGCUGUAGCUGCUGCCGCCGCGUUGGCCUGGCCAACCGGAGGGUAUGACUCAUUCAUCCCCUAUUUGCUCGUACAUGUGCUAGUCGUAUAUAUGCUACCACGGUUUCUCUAUGCAAGUAGCAGACAAACACGAAGCAGUGGAAUAACUUCUAGCAGCAGAACAACGACGACGGUGACGGCCUCCACUCCGUAGGGACUCUGGCUGGAACGCUUAUCCUAGCUCGCAAACAAGGGAUCCACGACAAUCAAGCAAACACGGCACGACCUGCAAACUGGCAUGACACGCCAGGUCAGUUCAUUCACUAGUAGGAAAAGGGGCUUUUACCCCAGUUUGUAAGGGCCUUUAGUCCCAGUUCUGGAACCGAGACUAAAGGGUCGUUACUAAUUCCCUAGCCCUUUAGUCCCGGUUCUUACACGAACCAGGACUAAAGGCCGUCCACGUGGCCGGUGCGGGGAGCCCAGGAAGGAGGGCCUUUGGUCCCGGUUGGUGCCACCAACCGGGACCAAUAGGCAGGGCCUUUUGUCCUGGUUGGUGUCACCAACCGGAACCAAUAGGCAUCCACGUGUCACCAGCUGGCAGGAGCUGAGGUUUUUGUUUUUUUUGAAAGGGGGUGGUUUAGGGGUUUUGGGGGGUUAAUUUAGGUGUUUCAUAUAUUGCAUUAGCUAGCUAAUUAAUAGAGAGAAGUGUCCUCUCUUAUAUCCGUGCUUGGUCGACGCUACGUACUAUAUACGUAUGGAGAGGAGUAGACACGCUAGCUAGUAAUCAAAUGAAGGAAACAGAAGAUCGUCAUGAACAUAUGCAUACAGAGAGAAGUGAUAUCGACCACCUCUCCUUCUCCGAGAUAUUGGUCGAACAACAAGUUCUCGUAUAUCUAUCCGACACUACCGGCUACAUAUAUACAAUAAUUAUCUCUUACAAUACAAUCUCCUAAUUAUAUUGUAGGAACACAGGGUCCACAUAGUAUUCUCCGUUUUCAGCGAUCACGUGGUCAAGGAAGAAUGCCGCCAAUUCCUCUUGAAUUCCUCGCAUACGAUCUUCUGCUGGGAGUUCAUCCCGCUUCCGAAACAUCUAAGUUGAAGAAGGGGGUCAAUACAUAUAUAUAUGAAUAAAUGAAACUCAACACAAAUGAUGGUAAUAAAAUAAAAUUGUGAAUAUUAUUGCUUACGCACUUCAUAUUGUUCUUAAGUGUAGCCCCGCUCACAGGUAUGGUAGCGGAUGGACUCGCAAACGUAGUAUCCACAGUAAUUAUUCCCGGGUUCCUGCCACAACCACUUUACAAGAAAUAGAGGUCAAUCAAACUGAUAAGCAAGCAUGCUAAAUGGUAUUGAUGAAACUAGCGCUUGAAUCACUAGGAGAUGCGCGGAACAUGCUACUAUAGUACUUACUUUCGGGUGAUUAAAUUGCAGCUUCUUCGGCAGUCCCGGAGCUUUUGAGGUGAAUUUUCUCCAAACCCUGCCAGACAAAGAAAACAAUUACUUGAUAUCAGAAAAUGAACAAAGUUGCUAAUAUGGUGGAUAAUGAUCGAUUUAACUUACUUCUCGAGCAUUUGAGUCAUGUUCGCAUAGUCCUGGGAAUCUUUUCGUCUCGAAGUCUAAGACGAUUACUACUCCCGGCUCAAGCUUAAUCUCUAGGAGAAUAUAGUGGAAGCUGCGCAUGCAUGCAUAAGUCAUCAAUUACAUUACCAUAACCUGGACUAAUAAGGGAAACCGAAUAUGCACAAGACAGUAACACUCACUUGAAGUUGUAAGGAAAGAGUAUUAUAUCUUUGUUUUGAUUUAAUACCAACGAUUGUAGCAAGUUGGCCUCGGCUUCUUUGGGAUUUUUUCAACCGUAUAUGCAUCUAUGAGAUUUGUGUUAAUGAACCCAAUAUCACCGAUUUGUCUUUUCUUCAAUUCGGCGAUCUUCAAUCUGCAUAAUAUAGUGAGGAUAAGUAUAAAUACAUUCAAUGAAAGAGCUGACCUAUAUAGAGAGACUUAAUGACAGAAGUAGUACUACUUACAGACAGUAGCAAGUGAUCGUUGUUUUAUCGAGGGCCUUUUGAUUGUAAAACUGGAAGAAAUCCUCAAAUGGAACAUUCAGCAGUUCAAUUCCAACGAGGUCAUGCUCCGGUUUAACUCUCAGCGUCAAAGUACUCAUCCCAUCAGACUCUCUGCGGGUUUUCAUGUACCAAUCAUGUAGUCUUCGCAUCAUCGUGCUUAGAGAUCUGACAUCUUUGACGAGAGGCUACCCGUAAUGGUAUUUGUGUUCGUCCACCUCCAUGAUUUCAUAAUGUACAUCGUCGGGCAGGUAAUCUCCAAGAUUGCUAUAACCGGGCACCAUACUCGGAUCAUUAGCGACGAUGUCUUUUGACACCUUGAGCGGGGGGCACGAUUGGUUCGCUUGUUCGCUGAGCUGGGCAAUUUUUUUCCCAGCUCGUCGUUCUUUCAUCCUUUUAUCACUGACAGUACUUCCCGACCGCUCCGCUUCGGCAUAUGUCUUUGCAAGAACGCACUCAUAGUUGCCUCUCGGCGGAGACUUUGGUGGUUUUGUCAGGGCAGCCAGAGUGCGGUUUGCUUUCACCGGAUCUACCUUCUCCUCCGGAGGUGGAUGUUUCUUUGCUUUCACCCCUUCAAAGAAGUUCUUCACUUCGGCUCGCACGAUCUUCGCGUUCUCCUCCUCGGUCCUCUCAUAUGGUAACUUCUCUAGAUUCUUCAGAGAAGGACCGACUCUGUAUUGCCUCCCGCCUCUGGCAGCUGUACUGCUAGACGCCGGCAGAGCAGACGGAGCGGUUGUGGCUAUCUUCUUUCCUUGCUUACGAGGCGGAGGGGAAGGACUACGACGCGCCGGAGCAGCCGCAGCGGUGGCGGGUCUCUUCCGCCCUUGCUGACGAGGUGGAGAAGGAGGAGGCUGGCUGCUCUGGCGCGCCGGCGCUGGCGGAGAAGGAGGCGGAGUGCCGCCACGCGCCGGAGAAGGAGGCUGAGUGCCCUGAUCACUCGGCGGAGGAGGAGGCGGAGUGCCCUUACUCGUCGGAGCCGUCCAGUUCGGAAGCUUGAUGAGCUCCUUCCGCCAUAGGCAUGGAGUCUUCAGAGCUAAACCCAGCCGAGUCUCCCCUUCACCGGUAGGGUGGUCAAGCUGGACAUCCUCAAAUCCCUCCGUUAUUUCAUCCACCAUCACCCUAGCACAUCCUUCUGGAAUCGGCCGGCAGUGGUAGGUUGCGCCGGGUUCAGUAGGUAAAACAGAGCCAACAUCCGCCUUGACUUUCAAGUUCUGCCAUUCCGCCAUAAGGUGGCAAUGUUGAGACUCCGUGAUAGCAUCCACGGGGUAGCUAGCAGGAGCCGCAUGCUCCAGCUGAGGCAGCUCGGUGGAAGCCACGCUGCUUCUCCACUGAGAUGGCGGUGUAGCUUCGGGGGCAGUUUCGGCAUCUCGAUUGCCGUCUCAUUCCUCUAGCGCUUGAACCCUUUCGUGCAGCUUCUGAAUUUGGAUCUGCUCCACUUUUUUCCUCCUCUCCUGGGUUUUGUAACCGCCCGCGUCUGGAAAACCAGCCUUCCACGGAAUGGAGCCUGGCGUGCCUCGUGUCCGUCCAGGGUGCUCAGGAUUCCCGAGGGCCAUUGUGAGCUCGUCGUUCUCUCUGUUUGGAACGAACGUCCCUUGCUGUGCUGCAUCGAUAUAGUGCUUAAGCUUCUUGACGGGUAUUGCAAGUUGCUCGUCCGUCCAACGACACCUCCCUGAUACAGGUUCCAAGGUUCCGCCAGCCCCGCAGAACCAAGUCCGGCAACGGUCUGGCCAGUUCAUUGUCUCUGGUUCGAUCCCUUUAUCAAGCAGAUCCCUCUCAGACUUGGCCCACUUAGGCCGGGCUUUGAGGUAGCCACCUGACCCCGUGCGAUGGUGAAGCUUCUUCUUCGCAGCAUUCUUCUUGUUUGUCGCUGACAUCUUCUUACUCUUUUCCGAUGUCUUGUGGGCCACAAAUGCGGGCCAGUGAUCUCUGAUCUUCUCAUAUCGGCCGAUGAAUUCUGGUGUCUCUUCUUUGUCGACAAACAUUUUCAGCUCAUUCUUCCACCUCCUGAAUAGGUCUGCCAUCUUCUUAAGAGCAUGAGACUUGAUUAAUUGCUCUAUAACUGGCUUCUCCGGAUCCUCCUCUGGCGGUAGGGUGAAAUUUGCCUUCAGCUCAGUCCACAGAUCAUCUUUCUGCAUAUCAUUGACAUAAGACACCUCAGGGUCUUCCUUCUUAGGCUUAUACCAUUGGUGGAUGCUGAUCGGGAUCUUGUCCCUAACUAGAACCCCGCACUGAGCAGGAAAAGCAUCCUUUGUCCGGAGGGGUUCAAUCGGUUGGCCGUCGCGCGCGAUUGCUGUGAUCUCAAACCUUUCAUCCGAGCGCAACUUUCUCUUCGGGCCUCGUCUCUUUACCGCAGUUGUGCUCGAUCCGGAGGGCUAGAAAAAAGAAGAAAGACGAGUCUUAAUUAAUAUGUGUACAUACCAAAACAAUGAAUGCAUCAAUUAGCUAGUCAGCACAGGCUUAACUAAUAUAUUUACCUGGCCAGACUCUGUUUGGUCACCGGAGCCGUCGCCACGGGCUCCUUCUUGCACCAGCAUUGGGUCACCGGAGCCAUCAUAAUCAUGUCUUUCCUCCUCCACUCUUCGAUCACCGUAGCCUGCUUCUUCAACCUGUUCUUCCAAACCAUCAUUGUCGUUAAGAUACGACAAGAUAUCACCUCUGGCUAAGAUUAUGUCCCCCAACACCUCUUCUGCUUGCUCAUCUCGUCCGUGCUCCAUUGUUUCUGCAAAUAUUACAACAUGGCAAUUAUUACACAAACAUGACAGCAGGUGGAUAUAUUAGUGCAAACGUAGACCUAGCUUUUUCCGGGUUUGGGGUGGCCUAGGCAACGCUUCAAGGGUAGGGGCGCGGCGGGAGGGGGUAGGAGACCGACAUCUUUUUUUCUAGGGUUUGGGUGUCCUCGAGAGUUUUGGUCGAGCGAGAGGGCCGGGGGGUGCUCCCGUGGUAUAAGUUAUCACGGUCGAGAGGGGGUAUACAUAUCGACCGUCCAUCAUGUCGAAGUUAUCUGGGAGGGAGUUAUAUAUAUCGACAACGACGACAUACAUACACGGGAAAAUAAUGUUAUCGGGGAGGGGGUAUAUCGACCCCCCCCCACGUGUUGAAGUUAUCAGGAGGGGGUUAUAUCGACAACGACGACAUAUAUACACAGGAAAAUAAUGUUAUCGGGGAGGGGGUAUAUCGACCCCCCCUCGUGUUGAAGUUAUCGGGAGGGGUAUAUAUCGACGACGACAGACCCGAUAAAACAUAAGAAAACGAAGAAGAAAUAAAAAGAGGAGAAGAAGAAAGGAAUAGAGGAGAGGAUUGAAGAAAAAAAAGAAGAAAAAAAAGAGGAGAAGAAGAAAGGAAUAGAGGAGAAGAAGAAAAAAUAGAAAAUAUUCUAUUUUUUCUUCUUCUCCUCUAUUCCUUUCUUCUUCUCCUCUUCUUUUUCUUCUUUUUUCCUCUUCUUAUUUAUUUCUCCUCUUCUUCCUCUCCUCUUAUUCUUUCUUUCCUCUUCUUAUUUUCUUCUUUCCUAUCCUUCUUUUUCUUCUUCUUCCCUUCCUAGCUAGAUAUNNNNNNNNNNNNNNNNNNNNNNNNNNNNNNNNNNNNNNNNNNNNNNNNNNNNNNNNNNNNNNNNNNNNNNNNNNNNNNNNNNNNNNNNNNNNNNNNNNNNNNNNNNNNNNNNNNNNNNNNNNNNNNNNNNNNNNNNNNNNNNNNNNNNNNNNNNNNNNNNNNNNNNNNNNNNNNNNNNNNNNNNNNNNNNNNNNNNNNNNNNNNNNNNNNNNNNNNNNNNNNNNNNNNNNNNNNNNNNNNNNNNNNNNNNNNNNNNNNNNNNNNNNNNNNNNNNNNNNNNNNNNNNNNNNNNNNNNNNNNNNNNNNNNNNNNNNNNNNNNNNNNNNNNNNNNNNNNNNNNNNNNNNNNNNNNNNNNNNNNNNNNNNNNNNNNNNNNNNNNNNNNNNNNNNNNNNNNNNNNNNNNNNNNNNNNNNNNNNNNNNNNNNNNNNNNNNNNNNNNNNNNNNNNNNNNNNNNNNNNNNNNNNNNNNNNNNNNNNNNNNNNNNNNNNNNNNNNNNNNNNNNNNNNNNNNNNNNNNNNNNNNNNNNNNNNNNNNNNNNNNNNNNNNNNNNNNNNNNNNNNNNNNNNNNNNNNNNNNNNNNNNNNNNNNNNNNNNNNNNNNNNNNNNNNNNNNNNNNNNNNNNNNNNNNNNNNNNNNNNNNNNNNNNNNNNNNNNNNNNNNNNNNNNNNNNNNNNNNNNNNNNNNNNNNNNNNNNNNNNNNNNNNNNNNNNNNNNNNNNNNNNNNNNNNNNNNNNNNNNNNNNNNNNNNNNNNNNNNNNNNNNNNNNNNNNNNNNNNNNNNNNNNNNNNNNNNNNNNNNNNNNNNNNNNNNNNNNNNNNNNNNNNNNNNNNNNNNNNNNNNNNNNNNNNNNNNNNNNNNNNNNNNNNNNNNNNNNNNNNNNNNNNNNNNNNNNNNNNNNNNNNNNNNNNNNNNNNNNNNNNNNNNNNNNNNNNNNNNNNNNNNNNNNNNNNNNNNNNNNNNNNNNNNNNNNNNNNNNNNNNNNNNNNNNNNNNNNNNNNNNNNNNNNNNNNNNNNNNNNNNNNNNNNNNNNNNNNNNNNNNNNNNNNNNNNNNNNNNNNNNNNNNNNNNNNNNNNNNNNNNNNNNNNNNNNNNNNNNNNNNNNNNNNNNNNNNNNNNNNNNNNNNNNNNNNNNNNNNNNNNNNNNNNNNNNNNNNNNNNNNNNNNNNNNNNNNNNNNNNNNNNNNNNNNNNNNNNNNNNNNNNNNNNNNNNNNNNNNNNNNNNNNNNNNNNNNNNNNNNNNNNNNNNNNNNNNNNNNNNNNNNNNNNNNNNNNNNNNNNNNNNNNNNNNNNNNNNNNNNNNNNNNNNNNNNNNNNNNNNNNNNNNNNNNNNNNNNNNNNNNNNNNNNNNNNNNNNNNNNNNNNNNNNNNNNNNNNNNNNNNNNNNNNNNNNNNNNNNNNNNNNNNNNNNNNNNNNNNNNNNNNNNNNNNNNNNNNNNNNNNNNNNNNNNNNNNNNNNNNNNNNNNNNNNNNNNNNNNNNNNNNNNNNNNNNNNNNNNNNNNNNNNNNNNNNNNNNNNNNNNNNNNNNNNNNNNNNNNNNNNNNNNNNNNNNNNNNNNNNNNNNNNNNNNNNNNNNNNNNNNNNNNNNNNNNNNNNNNNNNNNNNNNNNNNNNNNNNNNNNNNNNNNNNNNNNNNNNNNNNNNNNUCAACAACCGGGACCAAAGGUCCCUUUUCAGUAGCCCAAAGGGCGGGAAGCGGCGGCCUUUGGUCCCUGUUGGUGGCACCAACCGGGACUAAAGGGGGGGCAUUGGUCCCGGUUGGUGCCACCAACCGGGACCAAAGGCCUUGCGCUGCCCGCGGCCAAAAGUUUAGUCCCACCUCGCUAGUUGAGAGGGGCUCGGAGUGGUUUAUAAGCCCCACUGCGGCUGCCCUCUCGAGCUCCUCUCAAAUGCAGGCUUACAGGCCUAAUGUCACACUGUGCUGUCUGUGGGCCUAUUGGGCCUUCUGCGGGCCUGAAUCCUGGCCCAGGUUGGGUUUCUAGUCGUAUUCAGGCCGUGGUGGCCCAAUAGGUGGCAGUUUUUAAUUUUUUUUCCAGUUUUUUGGUUCUGUUUUUUGCAUUAUUUAUUUUCUUUUGUUUUUUGCUUUAUUUUUUAAUUCUUUUUGCUUUUAGGUCAGCAAAAUUAUAAAAUGUCUGUUAGUGCCAUUAGUUUUAGAAAAAAUAUAAACUUUCUAUUAGUGCCAUUAGUUCUUUAUGAAAAUUCUUUUUGUUGUAUUUAGUUUUUUUGUUUUCUUUUUUGCUAUAUUUAUUUUGUUUUGUUUCUACUUACAACAAAAAACUUAUUUAUUUUAUUUUAUUUUGUUUCUAAUUACUUAUUUAUUUUACUUUAUGAUAAUUCUUUCUGCUAUUAAAGUUUCUAUCAAAAAAGUUCUUUAUGAAAAUUCUUUUUGCUUUUAAUGAUUAAAAAUAAAAAAGAGGCGCAAUGCGCGUUGAUUUGCUUCAAGCCUUUCGGAAUAGUGUAGACUGCACUGCACAUAGCUCGAUGCAGUCUACCUUAUUCCUCAAGGCUUGAAGCUAAGCAACGUGAGCAUUGCGCAUCUUCUUCAUCGUCUCUGCACUCAGGGCUUAUAAACCGCUCCUAGUGCCUCUCAGCUAGCGAGGUGGGACUAAAAAACUGCUUAGCUAGUAAGAAACUCUAGUACCGGUUCGUGCCACGACCUCGCUAGCUAAGAGAGAGCCGCACCUGUUUAUAAGGUGCGGUGCGCCUGAGCUGUCGAGCUCCUCUCUAAAGCAGGCUUACGGGCCUAACCUCUCUGUACAUGCCUGUAGGCCUACUGGGCCUUCUGCGGGCCUGAAUCCUGGCCCAUGGAUGGGUUUCUAAUCGUAUUCAGGCCGUGGUGGCCCAGUAGGUGGCAUAAUUUUUAAUUUUUGGCCUGUUAUUUUUCAUGCAUUUACUAAUUAUUUUGAGCUAUAAGACCCUAAAAUUGAAAAGCAUUUCAAAUGAACUCUGAAAAGGUUGAAAGUUGGCAUAGUAUCAUCAUUUCAUCCACAUAGCGUGUGCAAGAAAGUUGAGAGGGUUACGGCAAAAACUAGAUGCACUUCUUGUACAAAACGGACAAUGGUAUCAUACUCGUCUAUUACAAAGUUGGCAUGGUAUCAUCAUAAUAGUUGCGGGAGAAAGUCUUCACUUUUUCUUCGCUUGUGUCAUUUGCUUAUUGCGCCGUAACCAUGGAUAAUCUUCAUCGUUUAUCAGGAUGCUUGGGUCAGCCUUGACUUUGAAGGGAGGAAUUUCAUGAAACUUUUCAUAAUCUUCAGACAUGUCUGUCUUGCCCUCCACUCCCACAAUGUCCCUUUUUCCUGAAAUAACUAUGUGCCGCUUUGGCUCAUCGUAUGAUGUAUUCGCUUCCUUAUCUUUUCUUUUCCUCGGUCUGGUAGACAUGUCCUUCACAUAGAUAACCUGUGCCACAUCAUUGGCUAGGACGAACGGUUCGUCAGUGUACCCAAGAUUGUUCAGAUCCACUGUUGUCAUUCCGUACUGUGGGUCUACCUGUACCCCGCUCCUGACAGAUUGACCCAUUUGCACUUAAACAAAGGGACCUUAAAAUCAUGUCCGUAGUCAAGUUCCCAUAUGUCCAUUAUGUAACCAUAACAUGUGUCCUUUCCCCUCUCGGUUGCUGCAUCAAAGCGGACACCGCUGUUUUGGUUGGUGCUCUUUUGAUCUUGGGCGAUCGUGUAAAAUGUAUUCCCAUUUAUCUCGUAUCCUUUGUAAGUCAAUACAGUCGAAGAUGGUCCCCUGGACAACGAGUACAACUCAUCACAAACAGUGGUGUCACCUCUAAGACGUGUUUCCAACCAACUGCUAAAAGUCCUGAUGUGUUCACAUGUAAUCCAGUCGUCACACUGCUCCGGGUGUUCGGAGCGCAGACUGUUCUUGUGUUCAUCGACAUACGGGUCACCAAGGUAGAGUUAUGUAGAACUGUGUAGUGUGCUUGAGACCAAGAAUAUCCGUCCCUGCAUAUUAUUGAGUCCCCCCCUCCAAGCGUGCCUUUUCCAGUCAGUCCCCCCUCAUACCGCGAUUUAGGGAGACCUAUCUUCUUAAGGCCAGGAAUGAAGUCAACACAAAACCCAAUGACAUCCGCUGUUUGAUGGCCCAUGGAGAUUCUUCCUUUUGGCCUAGCGCGGUUACGGACAUAUUUCUUUAGGACUCCCAUGAACCUCUCAAAGGGGAACAUAUUGUGUAGAAAUACGGGCCCCAGAAUGACAAUCUCGUCGACUAGAUGAACUAGGACGUGCGUCAUGAUAUUGAAGAAGGAUGGUGGGAACACCAGCUCGAAACUGACAAGACAUUGCGCCACAUCACUCCUUAGCCUUGGUAUGAUUUCUGGAUCGAUCACCUUCUGAGAGAUUGCAUUGAGGAAUGCACAUAGCUUCACAAUGGCUAAUUGGACGUUUUCCGGUAGAAGCCCCCUCAAUGCAACCGGAAGCAGUUGCGUCAUAAUCACGUGGCAGUCAUGAGACUUUAGGUUCUGGAACUUUUUCUCUGGCAUAUUUAUUAUUCCCUUUAUAUUCGACGAGAAGCCAGUCGGGACCUUCAUACUGAGCAGGCAUUCAAAGAAGAUUUCUUUCUCUUCUUUCGUAAGAGCGUAGCUGGCAGGACCUUCAUACUUCUUCGGAGGCAUGCCGUCUUUUUCGUGCAAACGUUGCAGGUCCUCCCGUGCCUCAGGUGUAUCUUUUGUCUUCCCAUACACGCCCAAGAAGCCUAGCAGGUUCACGCAAAGGUUCUUCGUCACGUGCAUCACGUCGAUUGAAGAGCGGACCUCUAGCUCUUUCCAGUAGGGUAGGUCCCAAAAUAUAGAUUUCUUCUUCCACAUGGGUGCGUGUCCCUCAGCGUCAUUCGGAACAGCUAGUCCGCCGGGACCCUUUCCAAAGAUUACGUGUAAAUCAUUGACCAUAGCAAGUACGUGAUCACCGGUACGCAUGGCGGGCUUCUUCCGGUGAUCUGCCUCGCCUUUGAAAUGCUUGCCUUUCUUUCGACAUUGAUGGUUGGUCGAAAGAAAUCGACGAUGGCCCAGGUACACAUUCUUCCUGCUUUUGUCCAGGUAUAUACUUUCAGUGUCAUCUAAACAGUGCGUGCAUGCGUGGUAUCCCUUGUUUGUCUGUCCUGAAAGGUUACUGAGAGCAGGCCAAUCGUUGAUGGUUACAAACAGCAACGCGUGCAGGUUAAAUUCCUCCUGUUUGUGCUCAUCCCACGUACGUACACCGUUUCCAUUCCACAGCUGUAAAAGUUCUUCAACUAAUGGCCUUAGGUACACAUCAAUGUCGUUGCCGGGUUGCUUAGGGCCUUGGAUGAGAACUGGCAUCAUAAUGAACUUCCGCUUCAUGCACAUCCAAGGAGGAAGGUUAUACAUACAUAGAGUCACGGGCCAGGUGCUGUGAUUGCUGCUCUGCUCCCCGAAAGGAUUAAUGCCAUCCGCGCUUAAACCAAACCAUACGUUCCUUGGGUCACCUGCAAACUCAGCCCAGUACUUUCUCUCGAUUUUUCUCCACUGCGACCCGUCAGCGGGUGCUCUCAACUUCCCGUCUUUCUUACGGUCCUCACUGUGCCAUCGCAUCAACUUGGCAUGCUCUUCGUUUCUGAACAGACGUUUCAACCGUGGUAUUAUAGGAGCAUACCACAUCACCUUCGCAGGAACCCUCUUCCUGGGGGGGCUCGCCGUCAACAUCACCAGGGUCAUCUCGUCUGAUCUUAUACCGCAAUGCACCGCAUACCGGGCAUGCAUUCAGAUCCUUGCACGCACCGCGGUAGAGGAUGCAGUCAUUAGGGCAUGCAUGUAUCUUCUGCACCUCCAAUCCUAGAGGGCAUACGACCUUCUUUGCUGCGUAUGUACUGUCGGGCAAUUCGUUAUCCUUUGGAAGCUUCUUCUUCAAUAUUUUCAAUAGCUUCUCAAAUCCUUUGUCAGGCACAGCAUUCUCUGCCUUCCACUGCAGCAAUUCCAGUACGGUACCGAGCUUUGUGUUGCCAUCUUCGCAAUUGGGGUACAACCCUUUUUUGUCAUCCUCUAACAUGCGAUCGAACUUCAGCUUCUCCUUUUGACUUUCGCAUUGCGUCCUUGCAUCGACUAUGACCCGGCGGAGAUCAUCAUCAUCGGGCACUGGUUCCUCUUGAUCUUCAGCAGCUUCCCCCCUUGCAGCAUCAUUGGGCACAUCGUCUGGUUCCUCUUGAUCUUCAGCAGCUUCCCCCGUUGCAGCAUCACCGUAUUCAGGGGGCACAUAGUUGUCAUUGUCCUCUUCUUCUUCGCCGUCUUCCAUCAUAACCCCCAUUUCUCCGUGCCUCGUCCAAACAUUAUAGUGUGGCAUGAAACCCUUGUAAAGCAGGUGGGCGUGAAGGAUUUUCCGGUCAGAGUAAGACUUCGUAUUCCCACAUNNNNNNNNNNNNNNNNNNNNNNNNNNNNNNNNNNNNNNNNNNNNNNNNNNNNNNNNNNNNNNNNNNNNNNNNNNNNNNNNNNNNNNNNNNNNNNNNNNNNNNNNNNNNNNNNNNNNNNNNNNNNNNNNNNNNNNNNNNNNNNNNNNNNNNNNNNNNNNNNNNNNNNNNNNNNNNNNNNNNNNNNNNNNNNNNNNNNNNNNNNNNNNNNNNNNNNNNNNNNNNNNNNNNNNNNNNNNNNNNNNNNNNNNNNNNNNNNNNNNNNNNNNNNNNNNNNNNNNNNNNNNNNNNNNNNNNNNNNNNNNNNNNNNNNNNNNNNNNNNNNNNNNNNNNNNNNNNNNNNNNNNNNNNNNNNNNNNNNNNNNNNNNNNNNNNNNNNNNNNNNNNNNNNAAGUGACCAAAUUAAUAGAAGUUCAUCAUCACAUUAGAACCAAAGUACAUACAUAGUUCUCAUCUAACAACAUAUAUAUAGCUCUCCAGAGCAUCUAAUUAAUUAAACCAUACAUUGAAACUAUGUAAAACAUUUCAAUGCGAAAACAAAUGCGAUCAUAAUCGCAACCAAGGUAACAAUUGAUCCAACGGCAUAAUGAUACCAAGCCUCGGUAUGAAUGGCAUAUUUUCUAAUCUUUCUAAUCUUCAAGCGCAUUGCAUCCAUCUUGAUCUUGUGAUCAUCGACGACAUCCGCAACAUGCAACUCCAAUAUCAUCUUCUCCUCCUCAAUUUUUUUUAUUUUUUCCUUCAAGUAAUUGUUUUCUUCUUCAACUAAAUUUAACCUCUCGACAAUAGGGUCGGUUAGAAUUUCCGGUUCAACCACCUCCUAGAUAAAUAAAAUCUAUGUCACGCUGGUCGGUAUAUUUGUCAUAAACAAUAAAUGAAUCAAAUAGUUAUAAAAACAUAAUAUAUACCACAUCCGAAUCAUAGACAGGACGAGGGCCGACGGGGGCGGCUACCAAAACCAUCGCACUAUGUAAUAAGAAGGAAUAAAAUAGUAAGAAAAUUAGACAAGUAUCUAUCUAAAGUAAGAAUUUUUUUCUUUCAAAAAGAAGAUAAGAACAAGAGGCUCACCACGGUGGUGCCGGCGACGGCGCGGGCGGUCGACGGCGGUGAAGACGGGAAUGGGACGUGACGGGCCGCUAAACCUAGACAAAUCUCGAAGAAAAUGGAGCUUUGAGGUCGAGCUUCGAGAGGACAAAGCUUAACUAGUGUGGCUCGGGCAUUUCAUCGAACACCUCAUGUGCAUAGGAGGUGAGCUAGAGCACCACAAAGCCCUCCCCUCGCCGGCCAGAGAAAAACAAAGCACUGGAGUGCUCUGCUCGCGGGCGAGGGGUAUAUAUAGGCACCUCAUUGGUCCCGGUUCGUGGCAUGAACCGGUACUAAAUCCGGGCCUUCUGUCCCGGUUCAUGCCAAGAAUCUGGACCAAUGGUUGUGGGCCAGGAGCGAGGACCAUUAGUCCCGGUUCGUGGCUCGAACCGGGACAAAUGGUUCCAUACGAACCGGGACCAAUGCCCACGAGGCCCCGGCCGGCCCCCUGGGCUCAGGAACCGGGACGAAUACCCCCAUGGGUCCCGGUUCGUGACUGAACAGGGGCUAAUGUGAAAACUGCCCUGUGACCUAAGCCUUGUUUUCUACUAGUGGUUUGAUAGCUGUACCACCGUCGCAUCCCAAGCGAGAAGGAUGCCUCCUCUAGUGCCCCUUGCCGGCAAGUAGAAGAAACUCCCAAAUUUAUUUCCAAGGCACUGUUUUACAAGUUCUACCGUUAUGGUCUCCACUUUAGUCUCCUGGAAGCAAAUGAUGCUAGGGUUCGCCGAAUUGAUCACUUGGUAGAUAGAAUGCCUACGAGCUGGAGAGUUUAGUCCCUGAAUGUUCCACGCUAGUAGUUUCAGUGGUUGUGUCACCAUGGGAAAAAUCCGCGUACCACCUUUCUCCGCAGGCAUCAAAGGCCUGCCUCCACCCCAUCCGGCAGCUCCAUGAGGGGGGGUACUGAUGGUUCCCACCCAAAUAGUGCCAGGAUCACAGCAAUGUGCGAGUCCGAGAGGGGUUUCUUGAAGAGCUCGAUGUAUGCUUCCAGGGCUUGAUCGCUGAUGACUUCACCUUGAUUGGCCAAGCAGAGUUUUGUGAUGAUCAUUGACUCCUGCUUUGUGGCAUGUGACCCUCUCCCUUUGGCUAGCCGCACGCUUCUUCUGGGGUUUGAGAUGGGUGCACGCCGUUGUUUGGGUUUCCUGAAUUGAGUUUGCGGCGUACGUGUCACCGGGCCAGGCAAAACCAGAGACGGUACGUGAGUAAUUUCCGCACAGAAGUUGUCCACCUGCGUUUGCUGUUGCAGCCUGCCUGACGCCUCAGCCGAGAGGCUCACCACAAACAUCCCUAUGUCGUGCAUGGGCGCGUCACCAUCCUGCAUGCGGUGUGGGCCCUCCGAGUCUAAUCCCGAGAGGGAACUGAAAUCUUCAUCCAAUCCGGCGUUAUCGAUUUGCACGGCAUGUGGCGACAGGAGGGUGCAGUCUACCUGCCCCACGCUCUGGACUGGCCCCAGCUCCUCGGGGCGCACACUCGACAGUGUCAGGGGGUGGGGUUAUCCGUGGGGUCGGCAUCUGAUCUCUCCACUCCGGCAUCUGAACCCAGGGGCUGGCCUCCCUGUCCCAAUUCCCGGCCAAUCGCGUGGCUCAGCGCGGUUUGGACGGAUCCAACUUGCAGCAAGCUGGCCGACAGCUGGAAGGGUGGGGAGGAGCGAUUUGGGCGCGCUGAGGAUUCAAACUGCGCCUGGGCGGCGCACCGGCGGAGUCGGCGCCAGCGAGGACCCCGCCGAAGUGGAUCCCACCUCUUCCCCAGCGGGAGCAUCAUGUCCACCUUGACGGGCCCGCCCCGCCCCCAAGUCGUGCCCCCGCCCGGGCUGCUGGUCAUCCUGCGGCGACAGCUACGGCGGCGAAGGGGGGGAUGGCGGCGGCGGCGGGGGCGAACUCUGCACACAGAUCAGAUCAUGAUUGCUAGAAAAUCGCAGCCAUAUUUCUUUGGCUUAAAUAGACCGAUUCGGUUAGAUCAUGGUUGCCAAGGGUUAGGCAAAAGAAUCAACUUGUAACACAAUAGGCCUGGGUCCCUGUCUAAGCUUCACCUCACGGUUAGCUCGGGCAUGAAGACCUCUACAAGGAUACGAUACACGGCAGUAGGAGGCAUCGUGUCCUUCCACUGCGUGAAGAAGUGGCGCAUCCUCUCAGAAUCCGUCGCCAACCACUCCAAUGCCUGGACCGCCGGAACCACGGUGUCGUCGACCAGCUGCGCAUACGGUGACGUGGUCGACCCGUCGUCCAUCGUGUUCUUUAGCAGCACGAGCACGUUCAGCCGGAUGGUGGGGAUCCCACAGAGGCUGCCACCUUUGGAGCACCGGAGCAACUAGCGGCACCAUGAGCAUGCGCGCUGUGUUCAUGAGGCAGUGCAUCUGUUACACCUCGGGGAACUUAUCCUUGAGCCUUGUGAACCUCGGGUGACCUGGUCUGGGAGUUAACAAGGCUCAAGGAGAAGUUCCCCGUGGUGUACCAGACAUACUACAUCACGCACACCGCGCACAUGCUUGUGUCGCCUCUAGUUCGCUCAGUGCUCAAAAGGUGGCAGCCUCUGUGGGACCCCACCAUCUGGCUGGACGUGUUCGUCCUCCUAAAGAACACACUAGACGACGGAUCAGCCAUGUUAGUGUACACGGAGCUGGUCGACGACACUGGGGUUUCGACGGUUCAGGCAUUGGAAUGGAAGGCCAUGGACUCUGAGCGGAUGCGCCACUUCCUCGCGUAGUGGAAGGACACGCGGCCUCCUUCCGUCGUGCAGCGCAUCCUUGUGGAGGUCGUCGUGCCUGAGGUACCGCCUAAUAGGAGUCCUAGGUGGACUGGGGAACCCUGGGGCUUCGUAUCGCGUGCGUACAGUAGGUAGGUUGAGGUCUCCCCUAGCGAGGCUUCGAUGGUGGCAGCUUCGACGGCUGGAAUAAUUGUCUCUUCAUCCCAGCUCCAUCUCGGCAACGCCCAGUGCGGUCUAGUCGAGGGAUUCAUGAGGUGGUCAUUGUCAAGGUUUGCGACAUGGGCUUGUGGAAGAGGUGGAAGAAGAUUUGCGACACGAGGAGAUAUUUGCAAUUUCUUUCAUUGUCAAGGUUGUAUGCUGGAAAUGGAUUAAUGGAUCUGAGUUUAUUCUCGCAAAAAAGGAAGUACCUAGAUGAUCGAUGAUAUUAUCCUCCCCAAUCGUACUAAACGGCCUUAAUCUUGGUGUUACGCAUGCGCUCAACAUGUGCUUCGGGAAAGUGUAGAAGGCUCUACAUUAGAUUUAUGUUUUAGGACAUAAAUCAAUGAAAUUGGCUAUAGUCAUCCCAGAAACUCACAUAAUAUUUCAAACCACCUAUAAAUUAAUUACGGGACCCUAACCCUAGAUAGCUAGGGUAAACUCCCACCUCAAGGCUUAACUAGGGAGCCCAUGGAUUCGCCUUUCGUCUAUCUUCCGCUCCGGCGGCCGAUGGCGGGGAUGGAAUCCUGGUGCCUCCGAUUAGUAGCUUAGGUUAGGGCUUUUAGCUCUCGCGGGUACCGACGCUUGGGCGGAUGACAACGCUUAUUCUCGGAGGUGUUGGAACUGGAGAGAGCUAGGUGCCUCGACACGUUGGACGAGCACUUGAAGCUUGGCACCCUACGACGGAGACUGCCAUGAUAUCUAGAGUGCACGACGCAUGUCAACACGCAAAAGUUUAGCAAGUACGGAGUACCAAGCAAACUGCAUUGUUUUUGUUGUAAGCUUGCCUUGUAUUUAUACAUGGGCGAUACAUAAUUGCCAAGAUUAUAUUUGGUUACAGAACCACACCAUAUCAAUCUCUACAGAUCAGAUCGUGCAGGGCCACCCCAGCCCUAGACCCCACCCUCCAGGGCCCCAUCCUGCAGGGCCACCCCAGCCCGGUCCUCCAGGCCCAUGUGGAUCCAUCCUACCCUGAAUUGCUCCCACUAAAAUAAAAUGAAAAAACAAGCUAAACUGAUGCUGAAUGGUAAACAACAGCUUCACAACUCAAUCAGAAAGAACAAACCGAGACUUGGUGCAGCAGUUUGUGGUGAAGAAGAAUUUAUAGAGGUAGAGUGAGAACUGGUAGUUGUGCAUGUACCUUCUGUUCAAUGGCUCACCCACUGGUCUAUCUUACUUCCAUUUCAACUACUGUUCUCUGCGAACUAUUGCAGCAUUACAUGGACAUUUUGAGCACUAGAGAUUGAGUUCUGAACCACUUUGUUUCAUAGCAAAAAUAGUAUGUGGACAUAUGAAUCUAGCAGACCCAUCUAGCUGAUUUUUCUGAAGCAACACCGAAAUCC
rnacentral:lncRNA from 1 species